rnacentral:lncRNA from 1 species
GGUGUGGGCCGCCGUAUGAGAAACAUGGAAAUGAGUGGGCCGACACCACCAUACGUGUGGGUGAGUUUUCUAUUUUUUUCUACUCUUGUUUUCCUAUUUUCACUUUGGAGAUUCAGUUUCAAUCGAAGUUGUGAAUCUCAAAUUUCAUUCAAAUGCAACACAUAAAAUACCAGCAUGAAUGCAAAAGUAUAUUUUAUAUAUAACAUAUAUUUGUUUUAUUAUUUUUUUGUUCUUUUAUUCAUGAUUCUAAUUAUGAAAUAGAGAAUGGUUCACAUCUCAUGAAUUUUUAGGGAAAUAUAAUGUAUACUGUAGAUUAUAUAUUAAGAUAUAGUUUAAUCAUAAUUCUUCUAAUUUCACUCCAAGAAUAAUUUAGUUUAUCUGGUAUCUUUUUAUUUUAGUAAAAAAAAUAUAUUAAUUUUUUUUGGAGUAGUAACUUUUGAAAUUAUGAAUGUUCUCAAGGAAAGGUGUUUUGAUUUUAAAACCCCCGAGAGGAUUUUCCUUCUUUUCAGAGGAUUGAACUUUAGGGUGUUACAAAUCCUACCCCCCUUAACAAGAAUCUCGUCCUCGAGAUUAGUAAGAAAAGGGAUACAAAAGGAUUGGUGUGUAAUUCAUCUUUUAGUCUAUAAUUGGUUCAAAAAUCCAGAGUCUCAUUUUUUAGUCAAUAGUGGGCGAUUGGCAGACAUAGGUAUCCAGUUACUUAUUAUGUAGGAUAAAAGAUGUCUUUGAAGCAUAGAUAGGUUUGGGUAAGAAAGAGUAGGGUAAGGAAAGACUCCAUCCAAGAUUGUGGCUCUUGAUUCUUUUGAAGAUCUGGCUUGAAUCUUAUCCUUCCUUGAUUUGAUGAGGUCGAUCAUCUUCGAUUUUCGUUUUUGAAGUUGUUAUCCGAAUUAGGGACAUGUAGUUAAAAUAAAGUAGUAGGUGGAGCAGCUAGUUUAGUAGGUGGCUAUGAGUUAAAUGAGAUUAGUCGGAAUCUGGUUUGGAUGUUUUGCUUCUGAAUGGUUUGGAUAGGUUAUGUAACAUAUUAUGUAGGUCAAGUUAUUGGGUAUGGCCGAGUUGAUCUAAGUUACCAAAUUAGGCUUAAGUGAGUUAGGAGUAUUUCCUUAUAUUUUGUAACAGCAUUAAGUAACUCAAUCUAGCUUAGAUCAUUAUAGAUUAGAUAGAAUCCAGAUUAGGUUGGUAUGACUAGAUUAAACUAAUUAAGAUUAGAUAGAUCUACCAGGGUGGGAUAAAUAUUAUUAGGAUAUGCUAGAAUCUUUUAAGAAGGAUGGACAUUGUUUAGGCUAGAUAUUUUAAUGAGUGAUAAUCUAAGUUGAUUAGUUAUCUUAUGAAUUUUUUUAUUUAUAUUUAUGCCUAUAUGUAUAUGCAGAUGUAAUUGUGGACAUUACUCCACAACUCAUCACACUCAAUCAAAGAUCCAAAUCAGACAAGUAUCAUAAGAACAAACAUUCAAGUGCAUAGAUACACACAUAAAAAUAAUAUUUUUGUUUUUGUUCCUAAGAGUAGGUCUCCUAUUCCUAAAGGUCACUUUAGGUACAGGAUUUCAAAGUGUGAAAUCCACAGUUGUCUUUAGAAGGAAAAGGUAAGAAUAAUCAGAGUAAAGCGGAAAUAGAUGAGAAAAGAUUAAGAUAAGUUUAGAAAAGGAUCAGAGUAGCAAAGGUAAGUAGAUAAUGAUUGUCCAGUUCUAUCUAGGUUUUGUCCUACAGUCAACAUUCCUCUGAUACCACUUCUGUCACACCCGGAUUUUAGGGGUCCAAAGCCCGGGCGUAAACAUAAUCACCAGGUGUGCUGGGACCAAGUCUCACACAUAUGAUGAAUCAUGGCACAGGAUCGAAUGUCACAUCUUUACUACAUAACAGGAGUUCUAUACAAAAUAAUUAAGUAUUUACAUUAUAAGGAGACAACGGUCCAGCAACCCAAAGUUGGCUGGGAGACGACGACCUAGACCUCUCACGAACUCGCACAGCAUCCUUCAAGCGCCUCGUCCUGUGGUACCUGUUCUUGACCUGUGGGGGGGUGUGAGACAGCAAGAGUGAGCUCACAUACGUUCAUCGCUCAACAAGUUGUGGGGAAUAAUGUGCAUGAACUCGCCAAAGGUGGGAGCUCACGUGAAGUGUAAGGCUUACCAACGGAGAUGGUUGAAGCUGAGCAUUGCUUUUAAAGUUGGUCAAAAUUUUAUUAGCAAUUACUAAGUAUAAGUAAAUACCAACCCAAUUAAGUAGUAGAACAGAAGUAACAACAUCACCUGUGAUGCAAUGCAUAUGACAAAUUGAAUUUAAGUUCCAUAGAUUAAUCAUGUGAGGGUCCGAGCCGCUCAUGACCGUGAGCACGGCUAGUAUACCAGUUUUACACUCUGCAGAGGUUGCGCAUCUUUACCCACAAGUCAUGUUACCCAUCUGCCAAGGGAUCGCGACUUCCCAUACACCUCUACCAAGGAGGCGAGGCAGGGUAACACUACGAGGCCUUUACAAAGUUCCACUAGCUUCAGAAAACCCGCUACAGUUUAUAGGAAGCUCCAAUGCAGGAAUCCCUUGCAGGACCGCCAUCGCAGCAAAAUCCUCCCGAGGGCCUCCCUACACUGACCACUCCCCUACUGCCCUUGCCCCUUUCGGGUAAGGUAGUCCUCCACUAGCUUUCCUAAUUAAUCAGCCAAGGGCGUCCCAUUAAACCCUUGUGGUAGCACUGUUUUCCCGGGUGGUCGCUCCAUGUUCCAAUUAACAUAAUGAUCUUAUCAUGAACGAUAAAUAACAACGGAUAACAAAAGUAUAAUCAUGAGUAAUGUAUCUUCAUACCCAAAACCACAUAAAGCACUAGCAAGUACUACCCAAAAAGUUCAGUGGUAACAAGGUAUAAAGAUAAUCAAACUAGGGUAACCUAUUGGGUCCCAUCAAAAUUAACCUAUGCAGAUCAUUAUGAUUAAUCAGAACAUGGCUGGGUAAAAAGAAGUGAUCAAGGGCACAACUUGCCUGGGACUUGAGAUUCCAGGUACCAACUUGCUUUUCAGAUGACACGUGUCCUCGCGCUAGUCGUAGCAAUACAAGCAAACAUGGUAUAGAUAAAAUUAACAUCACACCAAACAUAAGAACAAACUGAGUAAUAAUGAUCUACGCGCUGCUACGAGACUAACGUAACUUGAACGGAUCAAAUCAGAGUUAAAACGGAGGAGUUAUGAUUUUCUGAAGAUUAUAUGUGUUUUGUACAAGAUUAAAUAGGAUAUAAAUUUUAAUGUGACAUUCAUGUCAAAACAGUGGUACUAAUUGAUAAACAAUAUUAUUAUAAAAUUAUAGAAACUAGAAUGGAUCAAUUUGGAGUUCAUAUGAAGUUUCUGUGAUUUAUACAACUUCUAGCAAUUAUUUUUGUAUUAAAAUCAAUUUCUAAAAUUAAAUAACUGAAUUCUCAGAGCUGUGGACUGGGCGCACAAAAUCUAGACAACCCGGGGGCCGCUACAUGAAUUUUCCUAAGACUCAGAGGUAUUCCGCGAGGACGGCGGGUUGUUUUUAGGAAAAUCUGGGGGCUCUUAUGCAUAAUAGGCACGGCGAAGGGGUAUCCUUUCAUCUAGGCCGCGCGAUCUGAUUUCAACGAUCCAGAUUAUAAUCCGAGCCCCGCGAACCGGUACAGGCUCACAACCGUUGGAUCCGAGAUCCACGGCACAGAUCACUUCCAUCCGAACGCUGCUGAACUUCUAAUCGUGGCCGCCCGAUCUUCAUCUAAUGGACCGGAUCAACUCACGCGAAGGGAUACAUGAAUUCUAUUCACAGCCGCAUGAUACCGGAUCAACGACCCAGCACCAUCUCCUUCCUCUCGUCGCUCAGACCGACGGCCAAGCGCGGCGGCAGUACACACCGGUGAGUCCCAGCCCGGUGCACCGGUGAACUACCCAUGUGCCUACUAGCAAAACACGACACAGAGAACAGAGGGAAUCACCCAGCUGGGAGUUCUUACCUGGACUCGGCAGGUGGCAGGACUGCCCACGCGCUACGGUGCUGGCUCACUACAACAGGUUCGACCGGGGCCCAGGACCUUCUCCGCGCUCGAGAGCGACGCAGAUGUUCGCACGAUGCCUCCCUGCACCCCUCUUUCCGACGAACACGGCGACACGAACGGAAGCUAGAACUUGGCGUUUGCAUGGAAGGGCUAUGGCAGCUACCGGAUAGGAGAUGCCUCUGUUCCUAUUUAUAACCCAGAGAAGGUGGGCUGGCGUCUGGCUGGCAAGCCCGACGGUUACGGAGGUGAGUCUGUUAGAUCUUGACGUCACGAUUUUGUUAAGUCAUCCCCACAAGCAGCGUCACGGGAGAUACCAGGAUGACUCCGUCCAUGACGUCAAUAUAACGUAUACUACGGCUGAUACAAUAAAAUUUUAAAUAAAUAAUAUAAAUGAAUAAAAAAAUAAGGCUACAAGGAUCUGGGUGUGGGCCGCCGUAUGGGAAACAUGGAAAUGAGUGGGCCGACACCACCAUACGUGUGGGUGAGUUUUCUUUUUUUUUCUACUCUUGUUUUCCUAUUUUCACUUUGGAGAUUCAGUUUCAAUCGAAGUUGUGAAUCUCAAAUUUCAUUCAAAUGCAACACAUAAAAUACCAGCAUGAAUGCAAAAGUAUAUUUUAUAUAUAACAUAUAUUUGUUUUAUUAUUUUUUUGUUCUUUUAUUCAUGAUUCUAGUUAUGAAAUAGAGAAUGGUUCACAUCUCAUGAAUUUUUAGGGAAAUAUAAUGUAUACUGUAGAUUAUAUAUUAAGAUAUAGUUUAAUCAUAAUUCUUCUAAUUUCACUCCAAGAAUAAUUUAGUUUAUCUGGUAUCUUUUUAUUUUAGUAAAAAAAUAUAUUAAUUUUUUUUGGAGUAGUAACUUUUGAAAUUAUGAAUGUUCUCAAGGAAAGGUGUUUUGAUUUUAAAACCCCCCAGAGGAUUUUCUUUAUUUUCAGAGGAUUGAACUUUAGGGUGUUACAACGUUAGCACAAUAAUGCCAAGUGGCUAGAGAGGAGUCUCAACAAAACACAAUAACCACAAGAGAUCAAUCACAGAGAAGGCACAGUGGUUUAUCCCGUGGUUCGGCCAAGACCAACGCUUACCUACUCCACGUUGUGGCGUCCCAACGGACGAGGGUUGCAAUCAACCCCUCUCAAACGGUCCAAAGACCCACUUGAAUACCACAGUGUUUUGCUUGCUUUACUAUAUCCCGUUUGCGAGGAAUCUCCACACUUUGGAGCCUCUCGCCCUUACACUUGAAAUUCACAAAGAAGCACGGAGUAAAGGAGGGAUGAGCAACACACUCAAUACAAGAAAUCACAGCAACACUGCGCACACAAGUCGCAACAAGAGCUCACAACACAACUCAAUGAGUUCACAACUCAACUAGAUCUCUAAUUGCUAUCGCAAGGAAUCAAAAGCGCGGAAUCGAUGUCUUAGUGCUUAGGAAUGCUUUGAGAAUGCUUGGUGUACUCCUCCAUGCGCCUAGGGGUCCCUUUUAUAGCCCCAAGGCAGCAAGGAGCCAUUAAGUGCAUUCCAGGAAGGCAUUUCUUGCCUUCUGUCGACUGGCGCACCGGACAGUCCGGUGCACCACCGGACACUGUCCGGUGCACCACCGGACACUGUCCGGUGCGGAUCUCUUUCCUUAUUUUGCGAAGCCGACCGUUGGCACCUUGGAGCCGUUGGCGCACCGGACACUGUCCGUGCACACCGGACAGUCCGGUGCCCCCUUCUAGCCGUUGACUCGGCCACGCGUCGCGCCCGGAUUAAGCGGCCGACCGUUGGCCCGGCGACCGUUGGCUCACCGAACACUGUCCGGUGAAUUAUAGUCGUACGCCGUUUAUUUCUUCCCGAGAGCAGCAAGUUUGCCUGAGCCAGUCUGGCGCACCGGACACUGUCCGGUGCACCCAGACAGAGCUGGCUUUGGCUGAACAAGGCCAUCUCUUCUCCAAUUCUUUUUCUCCUGUUUCCAGCACUUAGACACAAUACAUUAGUCUCUAAAACAAUGUACUAAGUCUGAGAAACAUACCUUUAUACUCGAUUUGUACUUCGUCCACCAUUUGACACUUAGGCACUUGUGUUGGACACUAAAUCACCAAAACACUUAGAAAUGGCCCAAGAGCACAUUCCCUUUCAGUAUGGUGUUGAUUGUUCUCUCUCUCUAAAUAUGUUGCAAAUUGACAUAUCAAGUCAAUGUUAAUAUCGCAAAACUCAUGCACAUAUUUAGGGGGAGCUACACAUACACAAAGGAUUUUAUCUCGCAAGUACUCGUAACUUUUAAUUUUUAUCUCUACUCCAGUUUGUUUUGGCAUCAAUCACCAAAAAGGGGGAGAUUGUAAGUGCAAUCAACCCUAAUUGAGGGUUUUGGUGAUUAAAUGACAAAACAAACUGAGAUUCUAACAAGUUUGCUCCUAGCAUGUACACAGUAAUUCUACAGACAGGAGAAGCACAGAUCCUACGAGCAUAAAAAAUAGAAAGCACAGCGGAUUUAAAAUUCCACAUCAAAUGGCGUGCUCUAAGUGCUUAGAAACAUCGGUGGUACUAAAUUUAUAAUUCUUGAGUCAUAGGAAUCGCCGUGCAAUUAAGAGGGAUCCGCGACGGUUAAGUAAGUUGUGCAAUGAGCCAAGUUCAAAAUCUUUUAAAAACAUCUUCAAGAACAUUUUUCCAAAUCAUGAAUGCCCUUCAGAAAAACAAAUUUUACUUCCCACAAAGACUCCAUUUUUGUUCUCUUCAAAAUACUCAAAAUUUGGUUUCAGCCCUGAAAACCGGUUCAACUGGUCCUAAAACCGGUUCAACCGAUUUUGGGACUGUUCCUCUGCCAUCCCUGCUCUGACCUGUCUGACAGUCAGAGCUGUCAGAAAAGUCAUUGCAGAUCUUUUUUGAAAACUGGUUCAACCGGAAUUUUCCAAUACUCAACCGGUUUUGAAACCGGUCGAGUCUCCGGCUGAGUAGGUCAGUGAACCGGGAUCCCCCUGGUAGAAACCGGUUCAGCCGGUCUGAAAAACGGUUCAACCGGUUUUUACUCCUUUUCUCCCAACGGCUGCCAGCUUUUGGGGGAUCCUUUAUAUACCCCCUCACACUCACUCUCUCAUUUACUUCUACCUCUCCCACGAAAUCUUGGCUGACCAAACUUCCAACAAGCGCAUUCAUUUCACCUUUCACACACGCAAUCGCAUCUCCUUCAAUCAUUUGAAGGACUCUUGGUGUGAGGUGAACUCGAUCGAACACGCUGUCAAUUUCAUCUCGAUUCUCCCAUUCUCUUUGUUCUUGAGCUCGUUGCAAACUUAACCUUGUGUGGAUUUGUUACUCUUGGAACCUCGUGUUCCUUGACGGUUAGAGGUUGCUUGGGGGUCUCCAAAUUUGUGGACGACCCCAAGAAGUUUGUAUCACCCGCUCUUUGAGCUUAUUUGAGAAGAGAUUGCCUUGACCUUUGUGGUCGGCUUGUGGAGGAUUAGGGUUGGAAAAGACCUGACCCUUUGUGGGCUCCUCAACGAGGAGUAGGACACCUUUGUGGUGGUUGCCGAACCUCGGGUUAUAUUGCGUGUUCUUGUGUGUUCUUGUUAAGCGCUUUAAAUUCGUUGGUUGGUUCAUAUUAUCCAUUCGAGUAGAUUUUGUGUAGGGCAAGUCUUUAGCUAUAUUCUUCACUACUUCGUAUUUGUUUAACAGAUUAUCUAAUUUAAGUUGAGCAGGUUCAAACUUGUUUAGUUGUAAUUAAAAUCAACUGAACCGGUUUGCACCAGUGUAACUUUAAUUUAACCUAUCUCGAAGUUUUUAGUGAAAAUUUUCAGGUGUAGCCUAUUCACCCCCCCCCCCUCUAGGCUACUUUCAAUAUGACUCAAACACAAGGGCAUAUAGAGUCUUCAACAAAUCCACUGGAUUAGUUGAGGUUUCUUGUGACAUUGUGUUCGAUGAAACUGAUUGCUCCUAAGUGGAGCAAGUUGAUCUUGAUGAGCUAGAAGAUGAAGAGGCUUUGUGCGUCGCAUUAAGGAACAUGUUCAUUGGGGAUGUGUGUCCUAAGGAAUCCGAAGAGCCUCCACAAGCAUAAGAUCAACCGUCAUCUUCCAUGCAAGCAUCUCCACCAACUUAAGAUGAGGAUCAGGCUCAAGAUGAUGAAAAUGAAGAUCAAGAGGAUGAGCCAUCUCACGAGGAGGACAAGGAUCAAGGGGGAGAUGAAGUUGAUCAAGACAAGGAAGAUGAUCAAGAAAUACAGGGUCAAAGACCGCCACACCCAAGAGUCCACCAAGCAAUUCAAAGAGAUCACCCCGUGAACUCCAUUCUCGGUGACAUUCAUAAGGGGGUAACCACUAGAUCUCGAGUUGCACAUUUAUGUGAACAUUACUCUUGUCUCCUCUAUUGAGCCAUACAGGGUAGAGGAUGCACUAAGAGAUUCGGAUUGGGUGUUGGCUAUGCAAGAGGAGCUCAACAACUUCACGAGGAAUUAGGUAUGGCAUUUAGUUCCACGUCCUAACCAAAAUGUUGUAGGUACUAAAUGGGUAUUCCGCAACAAGCAAGAUAAGCAUGCUGUGGUGACAAGGAACAAAGCCCGACUUGUGGCCAAAGGUUAUUCACAAGUCGAAGGUUUGGACUUUGGUAAAACUUAUGCACCCGUAGCUAGGCUUGAGUCAAUUCAUAUAUUACUUGCCUAUGCUACUUACCAUGGCUUUAAGCUCUAUCAAAUGGACGUGAAAAGUGCCUUCCUCAAUGGACCAAUCAAGGAAGAGGUCUAUGUUGAGCAACCUUCCGGCUUUGAAGAUAAUGAGUAUCCUAACCAUGCGUAUAAACUCUCAAAGGCGCUUUAUGGGCUCAAGCAAGCCCCAAGAGCAUGGUAUGAAUGCCUGCGAGAUUUCCUUAUCAUUAAUGGCUUCAAAGUCGGAAAAGUCGAUCCUACACUCUUUACUAAAACUAUUGCAAAUGAUUUGUUUGUAUGCCAAAUUUAUGUUGAUGAUAUCAUAUUUGGAUCUACUAACAAUUUACUUGUGAAGAGUUUAGUAGGAUCAUGAUACAAAAAUUUGAGAUGUCUAUGAUGGGGGAGUUGAAGUAUUUCCUAGGAUUUCAAGCCAAGCAACUCAAAGACGGUACCUUCAUUAGCCAAACAAAGUACAUUCAAGACAUACUUAACAAGUUUGGAAUGAAGGAUGCCAAGCCCAUCAAGACACCCAUGGAACAAAUGGACAUCUCGACCUCGACACUGGAGGUAAAUCCGUAGAUCAAAAGGUAUACCGGUCGAUGAUAGGAUCUCUACUCUAUUUAUGUGCAUCUCGACCGAAUAUUAUGCUUUCCGUAUGCAUGUGUGCAAGGUUCCAAGCCAAUCUUAAGGAAGUUCACCUUAGGGUCGUGAAAAGAAUCAUGAGAUAUUUAGUUUAUACUCCUACGUUUGGACUUUGGUACCCCAAGGGGUCUACUUUUGAUUUAAUAGGAUAUUCCGAUGCCGACUGGGCAGGGUGUAAAAUUGAUAGGAAGAGCACAUCAAGGACAUUGUCGUAGGCCAUUGCUGUGCGCAAUUACUUUGGAUGAGGCAAACCCUCAAGGACUAUGGCUACAAAUUGAGAAAAGUCCCUCUCCUAUGUGAUAAUGAGAGUGCAAUCCGCAUGGCGGAUAAUCCCGUUGAACACAGCCGCACUAAGCACAUAGACAUUCGAUAUCACUUUUUGAGAGAUCACCAACAAAUGGGGGAUAUCGAAAUUGCUUAUGUUAGCACCAAAGAACAAUUAGUCGAUAUCUUUACCAAACCUUUAGAUGAGAAAACCUUUAGCAAACUUAGGAAUGAGCUAAAUAUUCUUGAUUCUCAGAAUUUUGAUUAAAACAUUGCACACAUAGCUCAUUUAUAUACCUUGAUCAUAUCUUUUUUUCAUUUUGAUACAAAUGCAUAUCUCUUAUUAUUCUUGUACCAAGACUACGACGAAUGUGCUUUCAAGUAUAUUUCUAUACUAAGUCGUAGAUUGAAAGGGAAAUGGAGUCGACAAGGGUUCCACUCCACUCUAACGGUAUCAUUUCGCCGUCACUCCACAUCACUCUCAAUUGGUAUAAUCUUCACUCUUAUCUACUUAUACCAAUGGGGACAAAGUAUAAAAGGCUUUCAAAGUCUCUGUUUUUGGUGAUUAAUGCCAAAGGGGGAGAAAGUAUUAAGCCCAAAGCAAAAGGACCGGACUGCACCACCACCUAAUUUUUAAUUGUGUUUCGAAAAAAUUUAAAUGGGAAGAUUUUCAAAAUUAGUAUCUAUUAAAGCCUUCUUAAAAACUAAGAGGAGAAUUUCAUUCAGGGAGAGUUCUGUUUAAGUCAAAGGAAAAGGAUUUAAAACAGGGGGAGAAAUUUUAAAUCUUGAAAAUGCUUCUUGCAAUCUUAUUUAUAUGCCUUUGACUAUUUGCAAAAAGAUUUUGAAAAGAUUUUCCAAAAGAAUUUGCAGAAACAAAACAAGUGGUGCAAUCGUGGUCCAAAAUGUUAAAUAAAAGAAAAUAAUCCAUUCAUAUCUAGUGAAAUUAUCAAAUUGGUUUAACUCCAAGUAACCUAUGCACUUACCUUAUGCAAACUAGUUCAUUUCUGCACUUUACAUAUUUGCUUCGGUUUGUGUUGGCAUCAAUCACCAAAAAGGGGGAGAUUGAAAGGGAAAUAGGGUUAACCAUUUCCCACAAUUAAUUUUGGUGGUUGAAUGCCCAACAUAAAUAUAUGGACUAACUAGUUUGCUCUAGAAUAUAUGUUCUACAGGUGCAUAAAGGUUUAACACAAACCAAUAAAUAUUCAAGUUAGGGAUCAAAUACAAAGGAGUAAAAGAAACUUGAGUGUGUUGAGGAAUGGCGCAUCGGACUGUCCGGUGAGCCACCGGACAGUGUCCGGUGUGCCAGGACCGUACAGAUCAAACCAGCCACUCUCAGAUUUUCCAGGCGCCCUCCACUAUAAUUCACCGGACUGUCUGGUGUGCCACCGGACUGUUCGAUGCACCAGCGGAGCAACGACUAUCUAGCGUAACGGUCGACUGCAACGACACCCUGACAGCGCUACAGUACGCGAACAGUGCGCGCCAGAAGUCAGAGCAGAAGUCAGAGGCGCACCGGACAUUGAACAAGACAUGUCCGGUGUGGCACUGGACUGUCCGGUGCCACAUGAGGACAAAGCCCCCAACGGUCAACUGCUCCCGAACCCUAACGGUUGGGUGACGUGGCGGCGCACAGACAGUGUCCGGUGGCGCAUCGGACUGUCCGAUGCGCCCAUCGAUAGCAGUCUUCCCAAACGGCUUGUUGGUGGUUGAGGGCUAUAAAUACCCCCAACCACCACAACUCCAAGCAUCCAAGCAUUCUGAACAUUGCAUUCAAUACAAGAGCAAUAGACUUCACUCCAAGACACAAUCAAAGCGAUCGAUCCACUCAAAGUCCCUAAAUCAACUCUAGUGCAUUAGGACUUGUGAGAGGGUCUAUUGUGUUUCUUUGUUGCUCUUGUUUGUUUGGCUUGGCCUUCUUUUUCUUUUCAAUUCUUACUCUCAAGUGCUUUGUAAGCAAGGCAAGAGACACCAAUUGUGUGGUGGUCCUUGCGGGGUCUAAGUGACCCGUGAGAUUAAGGAAGAAGGCUCACUCGGUCUAAGUGACCGUUUGAGAGAGGGAAAGGGUUGAAAGAGACCCGGUCUUUGUGACCACCUCAACGGGGACUAGGUUCUUUAGAACCGAACCUCGGUAAAACAAAUCACCGUGCUCACUCGCUUUAUUUCUUGGUUGAUUUGUUUUCCCCUCUCUCCCGGACUUCAUUUAAGUUCUAACGCUAACCCCGGCUUGUAGUUUGUGUUUUAAGUUGUAAAUUUCAGAUUACGUCUAUUCACCCCCCUCUAGGCGACUUUCACAUACUUAGAUAAUAACCGAUCAAAGGUCGGGUCGGCUUUGACUAGUCGAUCGGAUGCCUUAAACGUGUUUGUCUUCCACUUACCUAUUUAUGGUCAUCGAGGUUUGAAGAUAUGUGGUCGUUGCUGAUCUUGGGUGAUGUCGGAUCGUCCGCCUGACCUGCACGGACUGUCCGAUGGUAAUCUGGACUGCUCGCGUCUUCGCGGCGAACUGCCCGUGGUGCGCAGAAUAGGGGGUUGUUCCUGUCCACCUGUCUGCGCCUGCCUCCCAGCGUUGGAGGUCGUGAUGGUGAUCUUCAAUGUCUCCCCUCUAUUUGGGGUCUUUUCUGCCACCAUUUUCCUGCAAAAAAUUGGUGUUUUCAUCGGCCUCUCGUGGGUCGCCGAUGAUGAUCUCCUUGCUUUUGACCUUAUCGGUUGUGCUAGGCCGAACCAAGACUUUUUAUCAUCAAAAUUGAUUAUAUUUAUUGGAAAGAGCUAUGUGUUCACCUGUAUUUAUUGAAAUUUCAAUCAGCCCUAGUUAAUGGUCGAUUGGGCAUGUCGUCGAAACACAUUACAAUCAUUAAUGGUGUGAGAGGAUGAAUUUUGCCACUUGGAGUAAGCACGACACUUAAGUUUGUUGACAGAUGGAAUUAGAGAUGGCAACGGAUAAACUAUCUGCGGAUAGUGUCUCUGGACAUCCAUAUCCACGACUUAUAUCCAAUAUCCGAACCCGUACCCGUUACCCGCUAUGGAUAACAAACAGUAUCCACAUCCGUUACCCGCGGGUAACGGAUAUCCGCGGAUAUAUCUGUUUGCCCACUAGACAUACAACAUAUUUAAAUCCAGCAAAUUCAAAUAUGAUAUCAUAUUUGUCAAGCAAAUUUAAAUAUGAUAAAAACAUACAACCAUACAGAAUUUGUCCAGCAAAUGAAAUCUGAUACAUGUAUUAAGGCAUACAACGAGCAAUAUAAAAUUGUCUCGCAGGGAUUGAGGGGAGGUGGUGGGCGCAGGGCGCAGCCGCGCAAUGACUGAGGAGAGGUGGCUGGUGCGCAGCCGGUAGCAGGGACUGUGGUGGCGGACUGGCGGGCGCGGCGUGGCACCCGGUAGCGGCUACGGUAGGAGCCGGAGUGCCGGACUGUGGCGAGAGUCUGGGAGAGGAGAGAUGGAGUGGGCGACGGCGGUAGGAGUGGAAGAAGAAAGAUGGAGAGGGUCUGGAGCGAGAGCGACCGAGCGAGGGCUUCGCUGGAAGCCUGGAACGGUGGAACCUAGGCUUGUGGCCUUGUGGGCUAUGGCAUGUGGGACGGGAGUACGGAAUAUUUUAACGGAUAUUCGGGUAUUUGUGUAUGGAUAAUGAUUUUUUGUACCCGUUUUAAAAAUAUCCACGGAUAUCAAGUGCUACCUGUAUUCGUAUCCAUGGUAUAGACUCGUACCCAAAAUCGUGCCCAACGGGUUUUUUAUCCGCAGGUACGCGGAUAAAUCACAUCCAUUGUCAUCCCUAGAUGGAAUAGUAUGAUUUAUUUUAACGUUGCCACUUUUGGAUAAUUCAUCUAAUAUUUUAACAAAUUUGCCAAUAUUAAAUGUGAAUUUAACCUUUUCUUGCCGUUUCUUUUGAACCAUAUGCAAAGAGUUUCUUUUGAACCAUAUGCAAAGAGUAACAAAUUGGAGAUUUUGCUUGUUUUGGCCACACCAUCUCAACAGCGUACACUUCUUUUGAUUCGUCGUUCGAGUUACUCUGGUCAUAUUCUACCAUAUGGAUGCUGGACAAGAUUCAGUUGACGAAUACUUCCUCAUGGACAAAUUAAUCAUACACGACUGUUAGCAGACACUAGAAAACAUAAAUUAGUGAAAAACGGACAUCCUAAACUAUUUUUUACUUCAACUAAUCUAUCCUAAACUAUUUUUUUACUUUCAACUCAUGGAAAUAUGAGGGAGGGAUCACACCGUGAUGGCAAAAAAAAAAACUAGGAAACCUUGCGGGACCUAUUGGAGGGGAAGAAAAUUGAGUUUCCCCAAAAUAAAAACUUUUUCAGGUCUUUUGUGUGUCUUUCUUGGAGUUGCUCUUAGAACCGGACUACAUCAUUGCUGGAUUUAUGUUGUUCUAACUCAAAAUCAUACGAAUAUAAAUCGUUACGUCUAACCAAGUCACGGGUAGGACAUAUAGAGUGCGUGACGACACCAUGAAAGUAAAAUAUGAUGCUGGAUGAAUCUACCUUUUGGAUUUAAUAUUCGAGAUAGAUUAAAAAAAUAUUGGUAAACAUUCAUAAGUUUAACUAGCCAGUUGUCCGUUUUUUGCUACAUUAUUUUAUAUAUCAUAUAAAAAGGUAUUGAGAUUUUUAUUCAAUUAUAAUUAUUAUUUAUUUCUAAACAUUAAUGUACGUGUGGUCUGGUCGUUAGCCCCAAAUUUCUGUAGUAGUGGGACGUUGGUUCGAGUACUCGUUUCUGCACUAUGUUUUAUAUAAUUAUUUCUAAACACUAAGGUACAUGUGGUCUGAUGGUAACUGCGCGGGCGGGGUCAGGGGUAGACCCAAUGUCAACACGGAGGGUGAAGUCGUGAUAGCAUUGAAAAUAUCUCUAGGAUUGUAAAAAUCCGGAGAAAAUCUUAGAAAUAGAUCGGUAUAUGGUAAACCCAAAUUAAAUAUGUAGAGCUCAUGAAAGAAUAGCUACAAUAUUCAAUAACAACAUUUAGCUCUAUAAAGUUUGGAAAAUAUCUAUAAGAGUACAGAAAAUCAGCCAAAUAUUCUAAUAAAUGUCUAACAACUUGUAAAAGCUUCUCACAACAAAAAUAUCGAAAUAUUCUAAUGAUUGGAUCAUGAUCCAAAUAUUUAUUUACCAUUUUUAUGUCCUUAAUUAAUUUUAAUUAAAAAAUAAAUAAAAAUAAAAUCCUAUCUAAUUAUUAAAUUUUAUAAUACGGAGUAUAAAAUUAGAUCCUACUGCCACCUCUAGCAGUUCUAUACUAUACUUAAAGCACCAGUUUCAACGGUCGUCAUGCGUCAUUUUUUUACAAAUAACCCCUCACAGCUAUUUCAAAUUAAUCCGCCGCACGUUUAUAAACACCAAACGACGCCCGACACGGACUAGAUGCACGCGGGCCACAACUAUAGCACAGACACGUCAUGCCGGCCUGCUAAUUGUGUCGGGCCAUCCCGUUAGCCCGUCGAUCUAUUUAAUUAAAUCAGCGUAACGACGCCCGACACGGGCUAGAUGCACGUUAACCACAACUAUGGCACAGGCAUGUCAUGCUGCUCUGCUAACUGUGUCGGGCUAGCCCGUUAGGGCCAUCGAUCUAUUUAAUUAAAUCAUCAUAAAAUGUUAAAAACCGGUGCACGAGGUGGGGUUCGAACCCAUGCCCUGAUGGAAGAAGGGUGGGAGACAAUAGGUGAAACUGUCUAGCCAGUAGAACAUCAUGCUAAGAUGUUUUUAAUAAUGAAUAUAAAUUGUAUAUAGGUAUAUACGUUUUUUGUAAAAUAAAAAAAUAAUUGUGCCGGGUUGGGCCAGCACUAUGGGCCGAUACUACAGCCCAAUCAUGGCACGACGUUCUUUGCUCUUGCAAGCAUUAGGUCGUUUCUGAGACCACAUUGGUGCAAUGGACUACAUGGUGUUUGAGGUUGCUGAAUUGGAUGGAACAGCAAUGAUUUGUCACACUAACAGCAAAAUGAAAGGUUAUUUGUUGGUUUUAAACGUUAGUAAUUUCUACGAAGUAGCGUAAUUUAUAUGGAGCACGUCCAGUUUUUGUUGAUGCCUGACUUUAGCAAUCACUCCAUAUUUUGAUCUAUCUUUUUUAUAAGUUUGACUUCAUGAGACUUAUUUAAUAAACAUGAUCUCACAAACUUUCUCUUAUUUGGCCUCUAUAUGAUGGAAUUAUAUCAUUUUAUAAUCUCUGCUCAUUCAGUCAAUCGUUGUGAACUCUCUUCUAAUCGUUCACUUCAUUGGCCGUGUUGUACCAAGACAUAUUUGUAUGAAGUAAACAAUAACAUCAGUUAGCCAAAUCAAAAAAUAUAUUAUACAGAGAAUGGAGACAAUCAAUAAAAAAUCUUGAAAUUUUUUUGAUCGACUAGUAGUUUAGAAAAAGGCAGAAACGACUUGCUGCGGCCGUGAGCGGUGAGCCGAAGGGGGCAGCCUGAAACUUCUGGGCCCACGGUAACGACGGCCCUCAUGCCAGAGUUGGUGCUGGGCCGAAAGCCGCAUUGUUUGAGGCCCAUAAAAUGAAUUUGGGGUUUAAAAUUGUAAAUCGACGUUACAUAUUGGUUCUCAGCUCGUUAUUUACAUCAUUUAAUAAACAAAAAGGUUGGAGAUAGAUCGAUAUAUAGAAGACGCAAUGAAAUAUAUUUUUUGACCACGGCAUCACCUGUUUACAUAUGAUGAUGAUGAUACCGUAGCAUUAAUUCCUCGGGCAGAGAAAGGUUGCUGCACCAUUCUGACCUCCUUAAUGAACCAGCAUACCUGACAAGUACUCCAAUUCCAUGGCCUGUCAUUGUUGAUGUCAGGUGAUUUUACUGACAGUACUACACAACCGUCUCAGUGUCUGUCUGGAGUCAGUCUUUUUUACCAUUGGCCGGUGAUCAUCGUCAGUAGUGCUCUGCUGCCGCUAGUAUCACUGCAUAUCAGGCUGGCUGUUAUCAUCUGGCAAGCCAUGAAGUGACAAUCUUACUGACAGCUCUCUUUCUUUCUUGUUUUCUCGGUACUAAUCCAUUUCACACAGAUCUUGCAGCAUCGAGCAAUACAAUCUACACCGACAAGUGUCAAACAAGUACUAGCAUGACUUGACUAAUGGUGGACUAAAGUGGCUCGGCUAGCCGGUCGUACAUGUGUUUUCUUCACUACCAAUCCAAUCUGGAACUGGUAGUAGCAACGUCAACGACUCAAUUUAGAGACGACUCCUCCUAGUGCCACUGAAAACCUCACAAUUCACACGACUCCUAACCACACAUCACUUCCACGUGGGCUCACGCGCGCCGGGCCCCCACCAGCCAGCGUCCCAAACCCGCGUGUCCGCGCACGCCGCCAAAAGCAGUCGCGCCCAGGCUAGCACUAGCGCGGCGCCGGGCCAGGCCAACCCACGUGCCGCCCCCGCGGGCCACUCGCCGCUGGGCCCAGGGCCCUCCACCCCAACCCCACACCACCACCCACCGGACGCGUCGGUCGGCCCCACGUGGAGGGUACACGCCGUGUCGGGCGGCGUGGACCUGGUGGGGCCCAGCGGUGAGCGGAACGCACACGCCGCUCCCCUCCUCCCUCCUUUCUCCUCUGCUGUGCUGCCUGCCCCGCUCGCCUUUUUUUUGGUUGCCCCGCGUUGUUUUGCGCAUAGGACCCUGUGCUUUUUCCAUAUACUUCGGUAAUGGAGCGGUUCCAGAUGGUCGUCGGUCAACUUUUCCAUCCCCAGCCUCCCUGCUGCAGGCGCCGGUGAAUGGAUGGACCGAGCUCGGACUCGAUUCUUUUUACCGGCAGGUCAAUUGGUACCGACAAGCCCACACCAGAAAUGUUCAGGGUGUAAUCUGCAAACAAAAAGACAAGACAUGUCCUUUCCUUAAUCCCUACUCGCUUCCAGACUGCCCCCUCCUCGAGCCCUCGCCCGCGUUCGCCCCCGGCUGGGAUCACCGCGCGUUUGCCGGCGCCAUGGCCGUCGCAGUCGCCGUCGCCAGCCAAAAUCCACUAGCAGCGCGUAACCUCCUGCCGAUCUAGGUUGGUGCGCGCUACCGCUUCCCUCCCCUUCUGCUCCCCGUCGACGCCAUCUCCUCAGCCCCAGAUUGCAUCUCCCUCUUCUUCCUCUGGUUCUUUCGGCCCGGGCAGAAUGCCUCUUUUUUUUCUUCUUCUUCUUACUCGCAGGCUGCGGGCUUAUGCUCGAAGGCGCGAUCUUUACGCUCGGAGUGGCUUCGUUUCAGGAGACGGGGGAUUUCUUCUCGCCCUUUUCCUCGCCUUGCGGCUGCGGAAUACCGGGGCCGGCCUGGAUUUGCUCGAGAGUGAGAGGAAGGCGUAACAGUGUGAAGGAGGCGCGGGGGACAAUAUGGCUGCGGAAAUGGUGAAAGCGGCGACGAGCGACAAGCUCAAGGAGAUGGAUUGGGCAAAGAACAUCGAAAUCUGCGAGCUCGUGGCGCAGGAUCCUGGGUAUGCUUGCCAUCCCCCCUCCUGUUUUUUUUCCCUUUCGGAACCAUUGGUUACCGAGUAGCAUUGCAACUUUUGCUGGCUGAAGCCUGUGACGAUGAAUUCGCCCUUACCGUCACGAUUUCUUUCCGGAGAAUCGAUCUGGGAGCGAUAUCAGUUUCUCGUUGCCAGUUGGCUAUGAUUUUUUUUCUUGUUGCACAUAAGUCGUGGCUCGUGGGUUGCCAUUUGGAAAAGGGUGGGUUUUUUUUUGUUCACUUGAAUGAUGUGUUGAUUUUCUGUUUCCUGUCACUGCCACCAGGAAAGCGAAGGAUGUGAUCAAGUCUGUAAAGAAGUGUAUAGGGAGCAGGAGCAAGACCACUCAACUCUUUGCUGUUAUGGUGAGUUGUUUUCACAGAAGCAGCCCUCCUGGAUCCUGAUUCCACCAUCAACUAUUCAACUGGCGCGCUAUAGUUAUCUAGAUGACUAUGAUAGACACAGGAACAUAUUUGUUCUUUAUUUGAUCAUGGAUCAUAGACAUGUAAAGAAGGAAUGGCGACCUGUACUUUUUGCUCACGCAGCCACCCACAAUGGAAAAGUCGACGAAGGAAAAAAGAGCCACUCUUGCUAAUGUUUACUGCUCAUUUGAUGUAAAAGGGGGCAUGGAAGUACUUCACACGUUUUCUUGUCUGCUGGGAUGAUUCUUUGCUUUAUUUAUGUCUUGAUUUUUUUAAACUCUUAUUUUAGGUCUUGGUCCUGAUGUCACUGUACCUAAAUGGCCUAUCAUUUCUCAUAUGUUUUUAAAUUAAUUAGCUCACAUUACAUAAUGUGCGAAUGUGUUUUUAUGGUUAAGCUAUAGUCUUGAUUCAGAUUCACUUCUAUUUGAUUCAGCUAUUGGAGAUGCUUCUGAAUAAUUGCGGAGAGCCUGUCCAUAGGCAGGUCAUUGAUAAUGGCCUUCUUCCAAUACUUGUGAAGAUAGUGAAGAAAAAGGUAACUUAUUUUUCACUGAAUUUAUUAUGGCAAUUGUGAAACCUGUUCUCAUUUGGAACUUCACCAAUUGGUCUUGACGUAACACACUAUCUUGGUUGCAGACGGAUUUACCAGUUCGAGAAAAAAUAUUUCUUCUGUUAGAUGCAACACAAACAUCCCUUGGUGGAGCUAAAGCAAGGUUCCCUCAGUACUAUGAGGCAUACUAUGAGUUGGUGGUAGGUAUCAUAUUUGCAGCUGAGAAUUUUCCUUGAUUCCCUUUGUUUAUUCCCAUGUAUUUGUGUUGAGAAUUUUGGUAGCGCUAUGUUUAACUGUUGGUGCAUUUAUUCCUUUUACUAGAUGUUUUUUUCCUGCUCAACUGAAACACAUGUGCAAAUUGUUUGUCAAUUUAUUUAUAAAUAUGUGAAGACUCAUAAAAAUGUUGUACAUACUUCUGUGGUGCUGUUGUUUGCUUGGUGGUUGCAAGAUUUAUUCCUUAACCACUUCUAUGGCUCCAAUAUCUGCAGCACAUUCCUUCUCUUGAACAUAUUAUUUUGUUGUUAGCUUACAAUAGAAAGUAGCUGUUUUUGGUUCUUGCAGUGUUUAUUAUGAUAUAUAGCUGAAGCUAUCAUUUAUCUUGCCUCCAUAGUCUGCUGGUGUGCAAUUUUCAAAUCGGCCAAAUGUUCUUGUCACACGAGCAGAAGUGCCAGUCCCAGAAACGAGAACAGAACCAAAUAAUGAAAGUUUAUCGACCCGUUUGACUGAAGCUCAACAGGAAGUGCACACUCAGCCUGUUCCUGAUGCAAGGUACUUUCUUGGCAUUGAAAUGCUAAUCUUGAACUGUGUGGUACAUUUCAAUCAUCUCGAGUUUUUUUUUUUUUUGAAAUUUUGGUGCCUCUAUUCCUUUUGGUUUGUAUGUCCUGUUAUUGUUGCAAGGUUAACUAGCCUAUUAACAUCCUAACAUGUCAAAAAGUUUGUACUGCUCAUUCUUUUCUUUUUUUUGGUCAAUAGAUUUUUGGCGAACAUGCCUUGAUGCUACAUUGCUAAUUUGCUAUGAGUCACUAUGAUGAUAUAUUGCAUGCGGCAAUGCCAUGUGGUUGAAUAACCAUUAGCACGCAGUUUGUUUUAGCUUUUGAUUUACUUUUGCAAUUGCAGUGUCACUUGGUAAUGUUAUGUGUUGUUUUCUUUUUUUCUAUUCCAUGAUAUUUAUACAUCAUCAUACAUCUCUUCUGGGUGGAACCUAUGACAUGAUGACCUCAGGAUGCCAUAGUUAGCAUCUGUGAUGCACUGAUACCUUUCAUUAUUGAUUUAAUACUUAGAAUAAUAUAACUGGAUCUGGAUGCGGCAAAUUUUGCCUCGUCUUUAUGGACUGUAAUUCAUAUGUUCUAACAGCGUAUUUUGAUGUUUUUUCAGUAUAGUCCAGAAAGCCUCUAGUGUCAUGGAAGUAUUGAGGGAUGUGCUUAAUUCUAUGGAUCCUAGGCACCCUGAGGUAUGUGUUAAAUUAAUAUCUGCAACAACACCAAAGCCUUUUAGUCCCAAACAAGUUGGGGUAGGCUAGAGUUGAAACCUAAUGGAAAACCACAAGUCAAGGUUCUGUUAAAUUAAUAUCCACAUCAUCAAUAUAUCUGUAUCCUUCUCAAUUUUGCUUGUUGGAUUUUUUUGCACCUCUCUAUCCUCUUGCUGUGUAGCUAAAAUGCUUUUACUCUUUAUAACUUAUGCCCUAGCGCUGUGUUCUUGUAGGGAGCAACGGAUGAAUUUGUGUUGGAUCUUGUCGAGCAAUGUACGUUUCAGAAGCAACGAAUAAUGCACCUUGUUAUGACAUCAAGGUACGGGUCCGGUUUUAUUACUGUUGCUUUGGAUGGUGUUGGAAUAUCUGUGCACAUCUAUCACCUUUUUGUUACUUGUCGCUGUCUGCUACAGUCACACUGAUGUUUUGUGCCGCCCCUAUUAUUUGCUAGGGAUGAAACACUGGUAUCACAAGCUAUAGAGCUAAAUGAAGAGCUACAUAAGGUUCUCGUCCGGCAUGACGCGUUGCUUUCAGUUCAUCCGACAACAGCAGUAGCUUCUAAUAUAAAGGAAGAAGAGGAGGAAGAGGAUGCUGAAAGUCUCUAUCGGAGGUAGGACCGAUCAUGCACCAUUUUCUUUCAGAACGGUGGUAUGCAGCCUCUUACAGAAUUCUAUCCUUACUAAAACAGACUGCGGAAGGGGAAGGCGCUGUCGCAGGACUACACAGAUGACCUGGUGCCGUCGUUCCGAUCCAUGCCCGAGGACAAGCUGCGGCGGCCGCUGACCAUCCAAUCGCCUCACCCCGACAAGAGACUGGGUGCGCUGAACAUCCGCUCGCCGGACCGCGAGGAACCGAGACUUGAUCCUGCUCCGCUGAUCCCGCCGCCGCCCGCAAAGCACGCCGAGAGGGAGAGGUUCUUCCGAGAGAAGAGCAUCGACGGUGUGGCCAGCCUUCCGGGCCACAUGAGGGGCCUGUCGCAGCACAGCCGGGACGGCAGCAGCUCGUGUAGCGGCAGCACUGAUUACGGCGACUGAAAGGGGAGGGGUGAGCAGCAGCAGCAGUACAUAUAGGGUUCCCCUUCUUGGGGCUGGUCUCACACUUGGUCAGGCCAGGCAGGCGAUACAUUGGUGUUGUGCCGGAGUUUGGAUCGUCGGCGUCUCCUUCAUGCUGACCUGUGUACACUUGUCUUGGUAGCAUUUUGUUCAUUUUUCAUAUUUUCCCUUUGGCUGAUAUGACAUUACUGGGAGGCCGUUGUGUUGGUGUGGCGUUGUGGGUUCUUUCCCUUUGAGGUCUCUAUAGAUGAUUGUGAUCUACUGCAUGGGGGUAUGCUUGGGUCUGAAGCAUUGCUGUGACUUUACCCUUUUGGCUUUCUGCUCCUGUGUGUGGUGUAUCACUUGGAGGUCUGUCAGAGGCGUGCGUGCUGCAGCUAUUCAGUAGAUUCAGACUGCUGCUGCCGGCCACAGGGCACCAAAGUGGUCGGUCGUUGUCUUUGGGAAAAGCUACUGUGCAACGCAUGCCAGAAACCCACUUUGAGCUGUCUAUAGAUCGAAAAAAAUCAAGAAAGAGUUCAAAGGCAGCAGAGACUGGCUAACUUAUAAGAGGACCGCUUUUUUUUACCAUAUUUUAAAAACUCUGCAAUUUUAGCCUAAUGAUUUCUAUAGGGAAAAGUCCAAUUCAUCUCCUUCAAGUAUCACGGUCAUCCGAUUUUGCUCCUUGAAACCAGUUUCUUUUGACCCACUCGAUUCUUAAUAUCUUUUGUUUUUGCACCUUGAGGUCUUAUUUGAUUAUUCUCAUUACACAUAGAUUGGAUAAGAUUGAAAAAAUUAAGAAGUUUGACUUGUUUGAGAUUUAAAUUCAUUCAAUCUCAUUCAAUCCACAUGGAUUGAGAGCUAACCGAACAAGAACAAGCCCUGAGUGGUUUUGAUAUAAUUCUGCUGAUGUGCCAUAUCAGCAGAGUAAAUUAUACUAAGUUGAAAGUUAGCAAAAUAAAUUAGACAAAGUUGAAAGUUUAGGAAGGCAAACUGGAUAAAAAAAAUAUUUUAAUUAUGAACUAGUUUUAGAUCCCCUCUCUAAAAUCAUGUUCUAUCUUAUAUUCUUAUGAUGCCUGGAUUGAAUUUCUAUGGACUCAUUUUUACGCUUAAUUGCUAGAGAUGCUCUAGUUAUCUAUUAUAAUUAGCUUAUGUUCAUGACUAUGUAGAAGCGCUAGUGGAGCAUCGUCGGAAUUAUAUUGGCCAUUGUAUGCCAUGCACCCUUUCGUGGUUUCGAAGGAGGACAAUAGAUUUGUGUUCGGUGGGAUGCAAGCGUGGACUCACUUUUAAAUGGUAGAUCACGAAGACUCGAGCAAAGAACUGAGACAAUGGGUUAUACUCAGUCGUUCGUCGCGUCUCGCAGACUCACUCGACGGGGACUUGGUCGUUCGCCCCAUCUCGCAGACUCGCUCGGUUGCCUGACAUUGAGUUGGUCGGCAGAGAGUUGGUUGGUCGGUCCGCCUUGCAGAGUUGGUCGGUGGAAUUGGGCACCUUCCGGUGCAUCGCCCCAGACGCCCUCGGGCAGAGUCGGAAUACGCUGCUCAUCCAGGGUUGGCUUCGGGUGAGCCGUGGCUGCGUCUCCCGCUCGAUGUUGACCUCGGACGAGACGUGACUGCGUCUCCUGCCCGGGGUUGGCCUCGGGCAAGCCGUGACUGCGUCUCCCAACCGAGGUUGCCCUCGGGCAAGUAGUGAUUGCUUAUCCUACCCGUGGUUGGCCUCGGACGAGUCGUGACUUGGGUCCCUUGUGCCUUGGUAAGGUUGAGAGCGUCUUUCCUUAUGACCCCUUCUUGCUUAAGCGUCUAGGCACUUUAGGGCUGUGAUCUGGGUACCCCUUAUUAUGAUACCCGACAGUAGCCCCCGAGCCUUCGUGUGGCUUCCUUGCCAAGGGUCAGAAGCCCGAGUGCGCGCAAGCACAUCAAUAUGAUAUAGCACCAGAGCCCCGAGUAAUCCGUUGAGGGUUGCUUGGGGGUUUAUUUGGUUCCUGGUGAAGCCAUAGGCCUGUCUUUUGCCAACCUCUUCUGACCUCCUAGCUGUGUCGGAUGUAUGGAGAAUGGAGGGAGGGCAGGACUGUGUCUGUGUGAAUGUCCACAAAAUGGAGUGAGAAUCACGACCCAGUUCGGCCCAUUUAAGGCCUUGUUCGUUUACGCCAGAUUACAUCCGGAAUCGUUCCAGCUAAUCAAAGUUUAUAUAAAUUAGAGAAGUAAUCCGGUUAGAAAUCGUUCCGAUCCACUAAUCCCGCAAACGAACAAUGACUAGGGCCUUGUAUUGGAUUGGUGGGUCGGAACGAUUCCUAACCGGGUUGCUUCUUUAAUUUAUAUAAACUUUGAUUAGCUGGAACGAUUUCGGGUACAAUCCGACAGAAACGAACGAGACAUAAGUAGGAUCCAUUCUGACCAGUUAUCCUCAAGCUCACGGUCACGUAUUCCGUAAUGAAUACGCUACCAGUGUUGGGUUAGACUGUCUCCAGCAACGUCCUCUAUAUACAUCCUCUAUAUCCGUCCUUUACAGUUUUCUCUAAAAGAUUCCAUCUCCUAUAUCUACUUUCUCUCCAACAACGUCCUCUAAAUCACGUCCUCUAUAUGUAAAUACCUAUAUUAAAGACAUUUUUAAUUUUUUAAUUUUUGUACAUACGUAUUUGUCAUACUUUCAAAUGUAUUGUACAUAUUUUAGUUUUAUUAAAUCGGUUGUUUAAUCUAUUCAAAUAGAUAGAGAAUCGUUUAGAGAAACUCUACAUAUAGAGGAUCCGGCAGCGUUCUCUAAAUUUAGAGGACUGUUUAGAGGACGUUGCUGGAGGGAGUAGAGGACGUCCUCGUCCUCUAAAUUUAGGGUACAGAACCCUUUAGAGCUCCUUGCUGGAGCUAGUCUUACGGGUAGCGUGCAACAUCGGACAUGUGCGCUUUCUCCGCCUUUCCUCUCGUCUCCUCGUCCGUUGGGGGCUCGGGCGCUCGGCUGGAUCCAUUUCGCGUGGCGCGCGCGGUCGACGGGAGGUCCCAGCCAGCCAGCGAGAGAGGGAGCCGGGGCCGGGCGGGGCGGCACCUCGCGAGAUGGCGGCGGAAGCGGACGACCCGUCGCUGGCGGCGACCCUGGAGAAGUUCCGCCUCUACGAGACGCGCGCGGUGAGCACCUCACCACACCACCUGCCUCCUGGUUCCCCACCUCCAUCCGAGUGGAAUCGCUCAUCCGCCCAGGUUGCUUGCUGGAACGCAGAGGUUCUACGUGAUCGGGAGCUCGCGGGAGAAGCGCUGGUUCCGGGUGCUCAAGAUCGACCGCUCCGAGCCCUCCGAGCUCAACGUAAGCGAGGACCCCGUCUGGUACUCGCUGCAGGAGGUCAAGAGCCUCCUCCAGCGGAUCGACGAGGGCAACCGAUCCACCGGGGGCCUCGCCUUCGUCACCAAGGCAUACGGCAUCGCAGGUUGGCCCCCUAGUCCCUUUUCUCAGUUGCAUUCAUUGUUCAUGCACCUACCUCUGUUGCUCUGUAUUGGAAAAUUGGAUUAUCAACACUAGUUAGAUCGCAGCUUCUCUCGUAGGCUAUACUUCUCCUUAGAUAAGAUAGACAGUAUUAGUUUUUUUGGGGUUGGUGGGUGGGGGUAUAAAUACAGUAGUUCAUCAGAUGUGUUCUGUUCGGAAUUCCAUAAUGUUCCCUUUCAACGAAUAAGGUGACCAGAGAAUGCCAGGGAUUCAUUUUCAUUGCAGAACUACUUCACAAUGAAGAUAACUCGGACACCCUGUGUUACCAAUGUCCCUUGCAUCUCUUGCUAACAGUUGGAAUGUUGCUCAGUGCUUUACUGAUAUGAGUUUCACAUUCAAAUGCUAGGAUUCGAUUCGUUUGAUCAGGAUGGUUCAAGGAGGGUGGGAGGGAUGCCGUUUAUGUACCUUAUGUUUUUUUCUCAAGUUAGUCACUAUUUUUUCCACACUGCUAAAGACCAAAUUUCAUUACCAAAGCAACAAAAUUACAGAGUUUUAGCGAGUAGCAAAGAUGAAUAUGAAAACGAGAAACUAAACCCAGCAUGCCCAUGAAGUUGAUAACAGAGGGAUCCGCCCCAAGAAUGGAAACUACCGCUACGACUGAUGUGAAAUGCAGCAACGACCAAAAGGUCACCCAAGGCCACUCUCAGGAGUUCCAUACAGAGCUCCAGCCCAGACGGCAUGCAGGCCCAGAAACGAUGCUACCAACAAACGGCACCAGCUGGCGAUCCUCUUGUUUCUGCAGCUCCAGCUCUUUCUUGUGGAAGAACAAGGCGUCUUCGCAGCUUACACUCGCAAAACUUGCGUCUCCAGCUCUCCCUUCAGCAAACCUGCCCAAUAAUUCAGGAAGGAGCAAAUCAUACAAACAAUUUCAGUAGGAGAUUUGAUUUCCUUGUUAUCAAAACAAACACACAGUGUUUUUGCAUUUCCAAAUUGCCCAACAGAUCGCUGCCAACCCCAUAGCAUAUACUUCUGUGCAAAAGGCACAAGUAACAUCACCCUGCCAUUUACAUUUGCUCAAGUUAUCUUUAGUGAGGAUGGGAUUUUGAAGGACCAACCACAUGAAGACCUUGACUUUUAAGGGUAUCUUAGAUUUCCAAAAAAAAAAAAAAAUUGAAGUUACACCCAAACUCAUGCAGCCAUGCUAGCAGAGAUGUCUAUAAGUUGAUCUCACAGAAAAACUGCCAGUCUUUUCCCAUUUCCAGAUAGUUCUGCCAUUCUCAUUAUUGAUAUUAUAUCUAUGUACAAUAUCCUGUAAGCUUCUUAGUUGGUUUUGUAAGUCCUCAUGAAGUUAGUCACUAUUGACUACACUCGAACUACAGCCUUGCGCUUGUUCUCAAGAUUCUUGUUUCGUUUUGCUAUGUAGGUUGCAUCAAGUUCCUGGAGUCAUACUACCUGAUUUUAGUCACCAAACGCCGUCAAAUCGGUUGCAUUUGCGGGCAUGCUAUAUAUUGUAUAGAUGAGAGCCAGAUGAUCACCAUCCCACACUCAUCAGUGCAAACAGAUGUUGCGACCUCUAAGAAUGAGCUGAGGUAUAAGGAAUCUUUUUUCCUGUGCUGUUUCACACUUUUGAGUAUGCACAUAUUACCACACAUUUGCUGAAUUAAGGAACUUAUACUUCUGUAACAAUAGGUACAAGAAGCUUUUGGCUAGUGUUGAUCUCACCAAGGAUUUCUUCUAUAGCUACACAUAUCCAAUUAUGCAGAGCCUGCAACAGAGUGUUACUUCUGCAGGGAUGAAAGAAAUGCCUUAUGAAAAUUUGUUUGUCUGGAACACUUUUCUGACAGAGCCAGUACGUUCAAGGUGCCACAAUACUCUCUGGACAGUAGCUCUUGUCCAUGGGCACUUCAAGCAGGUUACUUAUAAACUAUCUGCCACUUUUUAAAGUUUUUUCCUCCGAAACCUUUUCUGUUUAUGAGAUUUGGAAAUUGGCUUCGUUGAUGACCUCCAUUUUAUUUUGGAGAGGGGUGGGGGGAAGGGGGAAUCUUGCAUAAUGCCUAAUUAAGUGUUUCUAUUUGUUUUCCAGGUCAAGCUAUCAAUUUUUGGCAGAGAGAUAAAUGUUGUUCUCAGCUCUAGAAGAUCCCGACACUUCGCCGGGACACGGUAAUUCUUUGUUUUGCUUUCUAGUCAUGCCAUACUUCUUUAUUUUCUUUUUUCAUUCGUGUAAUAUGAAUCAUUUACUCAUUGUUGAGGCUUAUGUUCUGUUCCAUUGAUUAUAUUAUUCUCUUAUUGCUGUUGAGUUAUCAAAUGCAUACCUUGUUCCAAAAAACUUAGAACUCAUAUAUGUAAGAUCUUUGUUGGAUCCAUCAUUCUUAUGCAAAACCUUUCAAAUCAACACUAAUUUCCUGUCAUUUUUCAUUUACUUACUGCUUGGCACAAUUUCUAUAUGUGCUCUGCCAGGCUGCGAGCUAUGCAUUAUCUUAUUUUUGUUCAAUUAAAAAUUUACUACCGCUACACGGUUUCUCUAGGUAUUUGAAAAGAGGUGUGAAUGACCAUGGAAAAGUUGCUAAUGAUGUUGAAACAGAGCAGAUAGUCUUUGAAGAAGAGGCUGGUUCCUGGAAGGGAAGAAUGAGUGCCGUAGUACAGAUGCGAGGAUCAAUCCCUCUCUUUUGGUCACAAGAGGCAUCUCGACUUAGUCCUAAGCCUGAUAUUUUUGGUUAGUAGAUGUUGUGAAUCAUUGAUUAUAAUCUCAGACCAACCCAUAAUAGUUGAUUGCAGGAUUAUUCAUAUAAAAUCUUAAGGUUUUAUCCUUAUGGUAGAAUAACACACUCACAUUCAUACAAAAUUUCAAGAUUUUAUUUCCUUAUGGUAGAAUAACAGACUUGCACAUCUGAGAAUGUUCUUGAGAUGCAUUCUUCAACUUCAAAUUGACUAUUCUUUUAGGUCUUGAAAUGAAUAAAAUUUAUUAUGAGUAGCACCUGUUUUCAUUUUCAUUAUGAGGAUCUAGGCCCAAGUAUAUACAUUUCAGGUAUAGCAAAUAUGCACAAAACCCACACAUGACAGAGAACAUAUACAUCCAACACAAAAAAUAUCACUUCUUUCUCACCUUAAAAUUUUGUUGCAGUGCAGAGAUAUGAUCCCACAUAUGAAGCAACAAAAUUACAUUUUGAUGAUCUCGCCCGGCGAUAUGGACAUCCUAUCAUAAUACUUAAUUUGAUAAAGGUACAUACCUGCAACUUAUUUUUGCAAUUCCCAAUUUCCCAAAUAUCUUCACUUGCUGAUUAGUUGUGCAUCUGAGACUUUAACCCUAACUCUUGAAUUGCAUAUGAAUUGGCUGCUACAGUUACACAUUGACAUUUGUCUAAAAAUACAAUAUUCAUUUUUGUGUGCUCAUAUAUCUAUGAGAAAAUUUAUUCUUCAUGCCUCUCCAUUAGAAAUUACACUAUAUUGCAGCUCUAUGCAUUUGGGAGUCAAAACUUAACUGAACGAUGUGUAUCUCUUUUCUGCUUGGACAUGUUAGUUUCUAGUGUAGCUGUGUGACUAGCUGCUACUCUUCAUUGACUUCUUUGUAUGGACAAUCAGCAUGUUAACUUUUGUCUUCCAUGUGUUGCUCAUCAAUAUUUUCUAUUCUCUAUGUAGACUGUUGAAAAAAGGCCACGUGAAAUGAUGCUCAGGCGUGAAUAUUGUAGAGCUGUUGAAUAUCUUAAUCAAAAUGUCCCAGAGGAGAAGAAGUUGAGAUUCAUCCACUGGGAUUUUCAUAAAUUUGCUAAAAGGUUUUCAAGUGCUUCUUGGCUACCUUCAAACAUUUGCAAGCUAGUGCUUGUUCACAUGCUGAUGUUUGAUGUUUCACACUUUACCUUUCAGCAAAUCUGCAAAUGUACUGGGUGUUUUAGGAAAAGUUGCGGGUGAAGCACUGGACCUCACUGGGUUUUACUACAGCGGAAAGCCAAAAGUCCAGAAAAAAAGGUUAAUUCAGCUUAGUCGAACUAGCACUGCAAGGUAAACAUGCAAUCUAGAAAGAAUGCAUAGCUUACAACAAAUAGGACCAUUGUAUCCUACAGAUUUUUAUCCGAGAAUUGAGAUAUCAAAUACAAGGAGCAAUUUCAUAUGGUUAAUCAUCUGUGAAUACCACACUAGCAACUAGGGAUACUACCAAUACUAAAUGUAGGCAAUGCUUUCUUUCUGUGCAGGGAUGGCUCCCUUGAUAUAAGGGCCAGUUCUGGAGAUCUUUCAAGGCUCAGGGAUGGCUCCCUUGAUAUAAGGGCCAGUUCUGGAGAUCUUUCAAGGCUCUCUAGUAAUGCUGAGGCACUUAGUUCUACAGGCUUUCAAGAUAUGAGAAAUCAGGCUAACAAACAAGAGUUUCUUGGUGAUACUCCCUGUUACCAAACUGGAGUGCUCCGUACAAAUUGCAUAGAUUGCCUGGAUCGCACAAAUGUUGCUCAGUAUGCAUAUGGCCUUGCUGCUUUGGGGAGGCAACUUCAUGCAAUGGGACUGACAGAUGUUUUAAAAAUCCACCCUGAUAGCAGCAUUGCUUCUGCUUUGAUGGAAAUGUACCAGAGCAUGGGUGAUGCACUUGCUCAUCAGUAUGGAGGAUCUGCGGCACAUAACACGGUCAGUAAAUAUUCUUUAGCACAUAUUAAAUAAAGAGUAGCUGCCAGUCAUUUGUAAUGCCCAUAGGAUCCAAAUUCCAGAAGUCAUUUUCUUUUCGGUUUUGGGGUUUAGAACUUCAGAUAAGAGAGCUAUCUGCUAUCGCCUCUUUGGCUGUUCCCUGGUUUCAGACAUCCAGUACUGUCCAAUGAACACAAUUUCAGGUUUUCCCUGAGAGGCAAGGGAAAUGGAAGGCUACUACUCAGUCUCGGGAGUUCCUGAAAUCAAUUAAACGGUAUUACAGUAAUGCCUACACUGAUGGUGAGAAGCAGGAUGCUAUAAAUCUGUAAGUCUAUCGUGUUGCUUUUAUCAUAAUAGAUGUACUGUAUUAAACAUAUAAGGUAGUGAGUGAACCAGCUCUUGAGUUGUCUAGUGCCAUGGGUGCAAUCAGAUUUCUGGGGUACUAAUUCUUAGUUUGGUGGUACUAUCAGAUUUCUGGGGUAUUUUCAACCACAAGAAGGAAAACCAGCUCUUUGGGAGCUGGAUACUGAUUACUAUCUUCAUGUGACGACAGCUGGGGAUGAUCUUAUGUCUGAUAGCUACCACUUGAGGCAAGUUUUAGUGGUUCUUUGCUUCACUUGUUAUGAUACAAUGAUUUUCAUACCCUUAACAAGAUGGUAACUCACAGUUCUGCACCUGGAAAUAAUGUGUUCGUGGGGUCUGGAGCUGCAUUGAACCCUGGGACCAUAUUGAGCCCUGUCCCAGCAUGCAAAGAGGAUUUCUCACGGAAGAAGCUUACUUCGUUCGACAAACUUAUAGAAAGAACAUGUAGUUCUAUAAGGAAUGUAAGGCUUCAUUGUGACGCUGAUCUAAAGCCAAGUGGAGGUGUUGGAACUUCUGGAAUGGCACCAGAUGCAGCGUACGCGGUUUACCCCCUCGUCACAUAUGGUUCUUGGUUGAAUUUAUUUUUUGUGAUGUUGUUCUGACAGGAUCCAUUUAUGGUUCAGUGAGAUACAGCUUAAAAGCCCCAACUGGUUGUUUGGUCAAAGGAAGCAUACGGAGACAAUUUCAACCGCAAGAGUUGCCCCGGUUGAAAACGUGAACGAGGGGAACAGAGACGAGUCAAAUGUGUCUCUUUGUGGGGAACUAAUUUGGCUAUCCUCCUCAGUUGAAUCAUGCGAGGAGGACAUUUUCAGAAGGUGACUCCAUAAAAUUUGCUACUAUAGCUCUUUAAAAAAAAAUGGCUCCUUUGUAGAUGAUUUUAGAAAUUCCGUUUUCUUUGCGAUAUGAUGCAGGUACCUUGCAUUCACGACAGCGGAUGUAGAGAAUGGCUGGUAUGGCGGAACACUGCUAUAUGACCGAGAUGAAAACAGCGGGGCUUACAGGCACUAUUCUGAGCUCUGCCAGGUAAGCGCCUCCAUGGCUGUCAUCUUGGUUCUGAAUACAGGAGUUUCAUAAACUUAUGUAUGUGGUAAUGCAGGGAGCUGUCAUGGAUCCCUUUGAGCAUGACCCUGAGAAAGAGCGGCACUACGCGGAGGCCCUUAGCGUGGAUCUCGGCGAUGCACGGGUGGAGGCCGAAAUGCAGGCCGCGCUGGAUGACUACCAGGUCAUAGGGUCGGACCUGAGCAUCAUCCCUUCGUGCGGAGCACUCGCAGAGGACCCGAGCCAGCUGACGAGGUGGAUCAUUGGAGAUGAGAGGCUGCUUGUGGGUGCUGCUGCGCAGUAGACCGGUGGGGUUCUGUCUUCUACUCUUCUGUGGAAGGUUGUACAGAGCAACAGAUUGCCAUUCACCGACCCAGCCUUUGUGUUUUAUAGAUACUUCCCUGAAACAAUUACUCCAUGUAUUUAGCAGCAGGUGUUUUAUAGACACUUCCCUGAAACAAUUACUCCAACACGUGCAUGCAAUUUAUUGUUGUGCAGCAGGUGGUAUUGCUGCUGGGAUUAGCUUUGGCAAUAAUAGUUGAUUGUUGUGCAGCAGGUGUUUGAUUUCAUUCAUCUAUAAAUAACCAAAGCCAGCUGGGCGAGACGAUCUUUCUCAGUCGAUCGCACAGCAAGUGAAGGCUUUGUGUACUAUACAACACAUAUGGAAUCAACCAUAACAAUCAAUCUGAUACACACGGUAAUUUACAUCCCCCAUCGAUCCAACCACCCAAGCUAGCUAGUCCAUCCCAAAAAGCCUUGAAUUCAGUUGCAUCCAUCCAUGUUUUGUAUCUUACAGCAAGAACGAAGACGUGUACCACCAAAAGACUAAGGGCAUGUACAGUGGUGUUUAAUGUGGGGGCUCUUAAGGUGUUUUAGGGGGUUAUUUGCAAAAAAAUCUUAGAGCCGUCUCUCCGUGAAGAGACGCCUCUGGCUCGUAAACCAAGUAACAACAGACGCCUCACUUCCCACUGUACGAAUUUGUCGUCUGUUCUAUCGAUCUGAUGCUAUACAAAUACAUUUAAUUCUGUAUUUAUUAAUAGACUACGUUUAUAGACACUCCAUUGUACAAUAUAGUCUCUUAGUUGUCUCCUGUGCUUGGAGAACCGUUUUGGUGUCUCUCCACUGUACAUGCCCUAAUACCAACUGAGGUCCAGGUCAGCUUGUGGCGAUAGAAAAGGAGAACCGGAGAGUCCCAGGCCAAUCCGCGUGCUUGUGUUGUCUCUUUGCCUAGUCAGGAACAGAAGUAAUUCUUGGGUUGGGUGUGCUUGUGGUCAUCACCUGUAUCUAUCUCUUGCCUGCUACAAACGGAGCAUAAAGCCUGCCUGAUGGUCAUUAUGUCAGGAGAGUUAUCUCGCAAUUUAGCCUGCUAUUAGACCUGCAUGCAUGGUGAAGUGUUCGAGAUCGUUAGUGAUAGAUAGAGUCUGCCUGUUUCAACAAGAAUCACAACAAUCUACCAUUUCUAUAUGAUCACCCUCAUCUCAGUUCUCAACAAACAUAUGUAUAUAUUGAUGGAAUAAGUCUUAAGCAUCUAGAGGACAGCAUUCACUUUUUGACUGUCCUUUGUACUCUCUUUAGCAUCUAAAGGACAUUAGUCGCUUUUUGACUGUCCUCUAUAGUCUCUUUAGCAUCUAGAGGACAACAGUCGCUUUUUAACUGUCCUCUGUAGUCUCUUUAGCAUCUAAAGGACUGCAGUCGCUUUUUGACUGUCCUCUGUAAUCUCUUUAGCAUCUAGAGGAUAUCAGUCGCUUUUUGACUGCCCUCUAUAGUCUCUUUAGCAUCUAGAGAACAAUCCUGUUGUGUAGUGUGUGUGAGAAGGUGUGGUAGUGCAGCCUCUAGGGCUAUAAAUAUGUGUCUCCAACUCUUAGAUGGGUAUGACAUUGUGUAGUGUUUGAGGAAAUAAACAGAAAAUUGCCCCAACUCAUAGUGUCAUCCUCUUGAUAAGAGUUAGAGUCCCUCUACUUACAAUUGGUAUCAGAGGCAAACUAUCCUGCAGCCUAAACAUCUCUUGCUCAUCUCCUUCCCGCGCCUCUCCCCACACUCAGUCGGCAGCACGAGCUCCAACUGUUCCUUCCUCUCCUGCUCAGACGAGCAGCCUUUCGUUUGAGACAGCCUCUUCCACAUGCAGCGACCCCUCACUAGCCCACUAUGUCCCUACGCUCGGUCACUUCGAGUGCACGGCGCCAGCAGGAGGCCGAGGUCGUCGCGGCACAAGAACACGAGCGAGCAGCAGCAGCGGCUGCUGUCGGUGUUUUGGGUCCGACCGCACACCGGGGUUGCCCCUUGAAAGGGAAUUAGGCUUACACCUAGUUCCUAAAUAAUUUUGGUGGUUGAAUUGUCCAACACAAAUAUUGGACUGACUAGUUUGCUCUAGUGUAUAAGUUAUACAGGUGCAAAAGGUUCACAUCUAGCCAAUAAAAAGACCAAGUGUUGGAUUCAAUAGAGGAGUAAAGGGGCAACCGAGGGCACCCCUGGUCUGGCGCACCGGACUGUCCGGUGUGCCACCGGACAGUGCACAGUACCUGUCCGGUGCACCAGGGGACUCAGACUCAAACUCUUCACCUUCGGGAAUUCCAGGGGCGACUCGGCUAAAAUUCACCGGACUGUCCGGUGUGCACCGGACAUGUCCGGUGCUCCAAGGAAGCUCGGCCUCCUGAACUCGCCAGCCUCGGGUUCGCGCGGCAGCCGCUCCGCUAUAAUUCACCGGACUGUCCGGUGUGCACCGGACUGUCCGGUGUGCCAGCGGAGCAACGGCUCCCUGCGGCGCCAACGGCUCCCUGCGGUGCAUUAAAUGCGCGCGCAGCGCGCGCAGUCGUCAGACUCGCCCAUACCGGUGCACCGGACAUCAAACAGUGCAUGUCCGGUGUGCACCGGACACCCAGGCGGGCCCACAAGUCAGAAGCUCCAACGGUCAGAAUCCAACGGCAGUGAUGACGUGGCAGGGGCACCGGACUGUCCGGUGUGCACCGGACUGUCCGGUGCGCCAUCGAGCAGAAGCCUCCAGCCAACGGUCAAGUUUGGUGGUUGGGGCUAUAAAUACCCCAACCACCCCACCAUUCAUUGCAUCCAAGUUUUCCCACUUCUCAACCACUUACAAGAGCUAGGCAUUCAAUUCUAGACACAUUCAAAGAGAUCAAAUCCUCUCCAAUUCCACACAAAACCCUAGUGACUAGAGAGAGUGAUUUGCCGUGUUCUUUUGAGCUCUUGCGCUUGGAUCGCAUUCUUUCUUUCUCUUGUGCUCUUGUGAUCAACACUCAAUUGUAACCAAGGCAAGAGGCACCGAUUGUGUGGUGGCCCUUGCGGGGAAGUUUUGUUCCCGGUUGAUUGAGAAGAAGGAAAGCUCACUCGGUCGGAGGGACCGUUUGAGAGAGGGAAGGGUUGAAAGAGACCCGGCCUUUGUGGCCUCCUCAACGGGGAGUAGGUUUGCAAGAACCGAACCUCGGUAAAACAAAUCCGCGUGUCACUCUCUUUAUUUGCUUGCGAUUUGGUUUGUGCCCUCUCUUGUGGACUCAUUUAUUAUUACUAACGCUAACCCCGGCUUGUAGUUGUGUUUAUAUUUGUAAAUUUCAGUUUCGCCCUAUUCACCCCCCCUCUAGGCGACUAUCAAUUGGUAUCAGAGCCCGGUGCUUCAUUAGAGCCUAACCGCUCGAAGUGAUGUCGGGAGAUCACGCCAAGAAGGAGAUGGAGACCGGCGAAAAGCCCACUACAAGCUACGGGAGCACUUCAUCGGAAGAGUCCCGCACCAAAAGGAGGGAGAAGAAGAAGAACUCCUCCAACAAAGGGAAGGAGAAGAAAUCUUCUUCUCACCACAAAGAGAAGAAGGAAAAAUCUUCUUCCCACAAGCCGCAUCGGAAAGGCGAUAAGCACAAGAGGAUGAGAAAGGUGGUCUACUACGAGACCGACACUUCAUCAACCUCUACCUCCGACUCCGAUGCACCCUCCGUCACUUCUAAGCGCCAAGAGCGCAAGAAGUAUAGUAAGAUCCCCCUACGCUACCCUCGCAUUUCCAAACAUACAUCUUUACUUUCCGUCCCAUUAGGCAAACCACCAACUUUUGAUGGUGAAGAUUACGCUAGGUGGAGCGAUUUAAUGCGAUUUCAUCUAAUCUCGCUCCACAAAAGCAUAUGGGAUGUUGUUGAGUUUGGUGCGCAGGUACCAUCCGUAGGGGAUGAAAACUAUGAUGAGGAUGAGGUGGCCCAAAUCGAGCACUUCAACUCUCAAGCCACAACCAUACUCCUUGCCUCUCUAAGCAAGGAAGAAUACAACAAAGUGCAAGGGUUGAAAAAUGCAAAGGAGAUUUGGGAUGUGCUCAAAACUGCGCACGAGGGAGAUGAGCUCACCAAGAUCACCAAGCGGGAAACGAUUGAGGGGGAGCUCGGUCGGUUCCGGCUUCAAAAAGGGGAGGAGCCACAACACAUGUACAACCGGCUCAAGACUUUGGUGAACCAAGUGCGCAACCUCGGGAGCAAGAAGUGGGAUGACCACGAAGUGGUAAAUGUUAUUUUAAGAUCUCUCAUUUUUCUUAAUCCCACUCAAGUUCAAUUGAUUCGUGGUAAUCCUAGAUAUACUAAAAUGACCCCCGAGGAAGUUAUCGGGCAUUUUGUAAGUUUUGAGUGCAUGAUAGAAGGCUCGAGGAAAAUCAACGAGCUUGGCGACUCAUCCGAAGCCCAACCCGUUGCAUUCAAGGCAACGGAGGAGAAGAAGGAGGAGGCUACACCAAGUCGACAACCAAUCGACGCCUCCAAGCUCGACAAUGAGGAAAUGGCGCUCGUCAUCAAGAGCUUCCGCCAAAUCCUCAAACAAAGGAGGGGGAAAGACUACAAGUCCCGCUCCAAGAAGAUUUGCUACAAAUGUGGUAAGCCCGGUCAUUUCAUUGCUAAAUGUCCUAUGUCUAGUGACAGUGACCGAGGCGACGACAAGAAGGGGAGAAGAAAGGAGAAGAAAAGGUACUACAAGAAGAAGGGCGGCGAUGCCCAUGUUUGUCGGGAAUGGGAUUCCGACGAAAGCUCUAGCGACUCCUCCGACGACGAGGACGCCGCCAACAUCGCCGUCACCAAGGGACUCCUCUUCCCCAACGUCGGCCAUAGGUGCCUCAUGGCAAAGGACGGCAAACGGAAAAAGGUUAAAUCUAACUCCUCCGCUAAAUAUGAAUCUUCUAGUGAUGAUAAUGCUAGUGAUGAGGAGGAUAAUUUACGUUCCCUUUUUGCCAAUCUUAACAUGGAGCAAAAAGAAAAACUAAAUGAAUUGAUUAGUGCUAUUCAUGAAAAGGAUGACCUUUUGGACUCCCAAGAGGAUUGUCUAAUUAAAGAAAACAAGAAACAUGUUAAGGUUAAAAAGGCUUAUGCUCUAGAAGUAGAAAAAUGUGAAAAAUUGUAUAGUGAGCUAAGCACUUGCCGUGAAAUGAUUGACAACCUUAGAAAUGAAAAUGCUAUUUUAAAUGCUAAGGUUGAUUCACAUGUUUGUAAUGUUUCAAUUCCCAAUCUUAGAGAUGAUAACAUUGACUUGCUUGCUAAGAUUGAUGAAUUGAAUGCAUCUCUUGCUAGCCUUAGAUUAGAAAAUGAAAAUUUAAUUGCUAAGGCUAAAAAUUUUGAUGUUUGCAAUGCUACUAUUUCCGACCUUAGAACUAAGAAUGAAAUGUUGCAUGCUAAGGUUGUAGAACUUAAAUCUUGCAAACCCUCUACAUCUAAUGUUGAGCAUGUUUCUAUUUGCACUAGAUGUAGAGAUAUUGAUGUUAAUGCUAUUCUUGAUCAUAUAGCAAAAUUAGAUGCUAAAAUUGCCGAGCACAACCUAGAAAAUGAGAAAUUUAAAUUUGCUAGAAGUAUGCUCUUUAAUGGGAGACGCCCUGGCAUCAAGGAUGGCAUUGGCUUCCAAAAGGGAGACAAUGUCAAACUUAAUGCCCCUCCUAAAAAUUUGUCUAACUUUGUUAAGGGCAAAGCUCCCAUGCCUCAGGAUAACGAGGGUUACAUUUUGUACCCUGCCGGUUAUCCUGAGAGCAAAAUUAGGAGAAUUCACUCUAGGAAGUCUCACUCUGGCCCCAAUCAUGCUUUCAUGUAUAAGGGUGAGACAUCUAGUUCUAGGCAACCAACCCGUGCCAAGUUGCCUAAGAAGAAAAUUCCUAAUGCAUCAAAUGAACACAACAUUUCAUUUAAGACUUUUGAUGCAUCAUAUGUUUUGACUAACAAAUCCGGCAAGGUCGUUGCCAAGAUUGUUGGGGGCAAACACAAGGGCUCCAAAACUUGUGUUUGGGUACCCAAAGUUCUUGUUUCUAAUGCCAAAGGACCCAAAACCGUUUGGGUACCUAAAGUCAAGAACUAAAAUUGUUUUGUAGGUUUAUGCAUCCGGGGGGUCAAGUUGGAUACUCGAUAGCGGGUGCACAAACCACAUGACCGGGGAGAAAAGGAUGUUCUCCUCAUAUGAGAAAAACAAAGAUCCCCAACGAGCUAUCACAUUUGGGGAUGGAAAUCAAGGGUUGGUCAAAGGUUUGGGUAAAAUUGCUAUUUCACCUGACCAUUCCAUUUCCAAUGUUUUUCUUGUUGAUUCAUUAGAUUACAACUUGCUUUCUGUUUCCCAAUUAUGUCAAAUGGGCUACAACUGUCUUUUUACUGAUAUAGGUGUCACUGUCUUUAGAAGAAGUGAUGAUUCAAUAGCAUUUAAGGGUGUGUUAGAGGGUCAGCUAUACUUAGUAGAUUUUGAUAGAGCUGAGCUCGACACAUGUUUAAUUGCUAAGACUAACAUGGGUUGGCUCUGGCACCGCCGACUAGCCCAUGUUGGGAUGAAGAAUCUUCAUAAGCUUCUAAAGGGAGAGCACAUUUUAGGACUAACCAAUGUUCAUUUUGAGAAAGACAGGAUUUGUAGCGCAUGCCAAGCAGGGAAGCAAGUUGGCACUCAUCAUCCACACAAGAACAUAAUGACGACUGACAGGCCACUGGAGCUCCUACACAUGGAUCUAUUCGGCCCGAUCGCUUACAUAAGCAUCGGCGGGAGUAAGUACUGUCUAGUUAUUGUGGAUGAUUAUUCUCGCUUCACUUGGGUAUUCUUUUUACAGGAAAAAUCUCAAACCCAAGAGACCUUAAAGGGAUUCUUGAGACGAGCUCAAAAUGAGUUCGGCUUAAGGAUCAAGAAAAUAAGAAGCGACAAUGGGACGGAGUUCAAGAACUCUCAAAUUGAAAGCUUCCUUGAGGAGGAGGGCAUCAAGCAUGAGUUCUCUUCUCCCUACACGCCACAACAAAACGGUGUAGUGGAGAGGAAGAAUCGAACUCUAUUGGACAUGGCAAGAACCAUGCUUGAUGAGUACAAGACACCGGACCGGUUUUGGGCCGAAGCGGUCAACACCGCCUGCUACGCCAUCAACCGGUUAUAUCUUCACCGAAUCCUCAAGAAGACAUCAUAUGAACUCCUAACCGGUAAAAAGCCCAACAUUUCAUAUUUUAGAGUUUUUGGUAGCAAAUGCUUCAUUCUUAUUAAAAGAGGUAGAAAAUCUAAAUUUGCUCCUAAAACUGUAGAAGGUUUUUUACUUGGUUAUGACUCAAACACAAGGGCAUAUAGGGUCUUUAACAAGUCCACUGGACUAGUUGAAGUCUCUUGUGACGUUGUGUUUGAUGAAACUAACGGCUCUCAAGUAGAGCAAGUUGAUCUUGAUGAGAUAGGUGAAGAACAGGCUCCAUGCAUCGCGCUAAGGAACAUGUCCAUCGGGGAUGUGUGUCCUAAGGAAUCCGAAGAGCCUCCAAGUACACAAGAUCAACCAUCCUCCUCCAUGCAAGCAUCUCCACCAACUCAAAAUGAGGAUGAGGCUCAAAAUGAUGAAGAGCAAAAUCAAGAAGACGAGCCACCUCAAGAUGAUAGCAAUGAUCAAGGGGGAGAUACAAAUAAUCAAGAAAAGGAGGAUGAGGAAGAACCAAGACCGCCACACCCAAGAGUCCACCAAGCAAUCCAACGAGAUCACCCCGUCGACACCAUCCUCGGCGACAUUCAUAAGGGGGUAACUACUCGAUCUCGGGUUGCACAUUUUUGUGAACAUUACUCGUUUGUUUCCUCUAUUGAGCCACACAGGGUAGAGGAAGCUCUCCAAGAUUCAGAUUGGGUGGUGGCGAUGCAAGAGGAGCUCAACAAUUUCACGAGGAACGAGGUAUGGCAUUUAGUUCCACGUCCUAACCAAAAUGUUGUAGGAACCAAAUGGGUCUUCCGCAACAAGCAAGAUGAGCAUGGUGUGGUGACAAGGAACAAAGCUCGACUCGUAGCCAAAGGGUAUUCACAAAUCGAAGGUUUGGAUUUCGAUGAAACCUAUGCACCCGUAGCUAGGCUUGAGUCAAUUCGCAUAUUAUUGGCCUAUGCUACUUACCAUGGCUUUAAGCUCUAUCAAAUGGACGUGAAAAGUGCCUUCCUCAACGGACCAAUCAAGGAAGAGGUCUAUGUUGAGCAACCUCCCGGCUUUGAAGACAGUGAGUAUCCUAAUCAUGUCUAUAGGCUCUCUAAGGCGCUUUAUGGGCUCAAGCAAGCCCCAAGAGCAUGGUAUGAAUGCCUUAGAGAUUUCCUUAUUGCUAAUGGCUUCAAAGUCGGCAAGGCCGAUCCUACACUCUUUACUAAAACUCUUGAAAAUGACUUGUUUGUAUGCCAAAUUUAUGUUGAUGAUAUUAUAUUUGGGUCUACUAACAAGUCUACAUGUGAAGAGUUUAGUAGGAUCAUGACACAGAAAUUCGAGAUGUCAAUGAUGGGGGAGUUGAAGUAUUUUCUAGGAUUCCAAGUCAAGCAACUCCAAGAGGGCACCUUCAUUAGCCAAACGAAGUACACUCAAGACAUUCUUGCUAAGUUUGGGAUGAAGGAUGCCAAACCCAUCAAGACACCCAUGGGAACUAAUGGGCAUCUCGACCUCGACACGGGAGGUAAGUCCGUGGAUCAAAAGGUAUACCGGUCGAUGAUUGGUUCAUUGCUUUAUUUAUGUGCAUCUCGGCCGGACAUUAUGCUUUCCGUUUGCAUGUGUGCAAGAUUCCAAUCCGACCCUAAGGAAUCCCACCUUACGGCCGUAAAACGAAUCUUGAGAUAUUUGGCUUAUACACCUAAGUUUGGGCUUUGGUACCCUCGGGGAUCCACGUUUGAUUUGAUUGGUUAUUCGGAUGCCGAUUGGGCAGGGUGCAAAAUCAAUAGGAAGAGCACAUCGGGGACUUGCCAGUUCUUGGGAAGAUCCUUGGUGUCUUGGGCUUCAAAGAAGCAAAAUUCCGUCGCUCUUUCCACCGCCGAAGCCGAGUACAUUGCCGCAGGACAUUGUUGCGCGCAAUUGCUUUGGAUGAGGCAAACCCUGCGGGACUACGGUUACAAAUUAACCAAAGUCCCUUUGCUAUGUGAUAAUGAGAGUGCAAUUAAGAUGGCCGACAAUCCCGUCGAGCACAGCCGCACUAAGCACAUAGCCAUUCGGUAUCAUUUUCUUAGGGAUCACCAACAAAAGGGAGAUAUCGAGAUUUCUUACAUUAAUACUAAAGAUCAAUUAGCCGAUAUCUUUACCAAGCCACUUGAUGAACAAUCUUUUACCAGACUUAGGCAUGAGCUAAAUAUUCUUGAUUCUAGAAAUUUCUUUUGCUAAGCUUGCACACAUAACUCAUUUGAAUACCUUUGAUCAUAUCUCCUUUAUAUGCUAUGACUAAUGUGUUUUCAAGUCUAUUUCAAACCAAGUCAUAGGUAUAUUGAAAGGGAAUUGGAGUCUUCGGCGAAGACAAAGGCUUCCACUCCGUAACUCAUGCUUCGCCAUCACUCCGAGCAACUCUCUAUUCCUUGGGGAGAAAUGAGCAUCAAAGAAAAGGACUUCAUCCUUGGAGGAGAGAGUAAAAGCUCAAAAGCAAAAGGACCGGAUUUCGUCUUUGGUAUAAUCUUAACUCGUUACUUAUGACCAAAGGGGAAGAAAUUACUUCGAGGGCUCUAAUGAUUCCGUUUUUGGCGAUUCAUGCCAAAAAGGGGGAGAAAUGAGCCCAAAGCAAAAGGACCGAACCACCACCACCAAAUUCAAAAACUUAGUGCUUUCCAAAAGUCUUUAUCAUUUGGUAUCCUAUUGUGUUCAAAAGGGGGAGAAAGUAGUAUUUCAAAAAUGGUAUAUCAAAACCCUCUUGAACACUAAGAGGUGGAUCUCUUUUAGGGGGAGUUUUGUUUAGUCAAAGGAAAAGCAUUUGAAACAGGGGGAGGAAAUUUCAAAUCUUGAAAAUGCUUUGCAAACUCUUAUUCAUGUACCUUUGACUAUUUACAAAAGAUCUUUGAAAUGGAUUUACAAAAAGAAUUUGCAAAAGCAAAACAUGUGGUGCAAACGUGGUCCAAAAUGUUAUAUAAGAAAGAAACAUUCCUUGCAUAUCUUGUAAGUAGUUAUAUUGGCUCAAUUCCAAGUAACCUUUGCACUUACAUUAUGUAAACUAGUUCAAUUAUGCACUUCUAUAUUUGCUUUGGUUUGUGUUGGCAUCAAUCACCAAAAAGGGGGAGAUUGAAAGGGAAUUAGGCUUACACCUAGUUCCUAAAUAAUUUUGGUGGUUGAAUUGUCCAACACAAAUAUUGGACUGACUAGUUUGCUCUAGUGUAUAAGUUAUACAGGUGCAAAAGGUUCACAUCUAGCCAAUAAAAAGACCAAGUGUUGGAUUCAAUAGAGGAGUAAAGGGGCAACCGAGGGCACCCCUGGUCUGGCGCACCGGACUGUCCGGUGUGCCACCGGACAGUGCACAGUACCUGUCCGGUGCACCAGGGGACUCAGACUCAAACUCUUCACCUUCGGGAAUUCCAGGGGCGACUCGGCUAAAAUUCACCGGACUGUCCGGUGUGCACCGGACAUGUCCGGUGCUCCAAGGAAGCUCGGCCUCCUGAACUCGCCAGCCUCGGGUUCGCGCGGCAGCCGCUCCGCUAUAAUUCACCGGACUGUCCGGUGUGCACCGGACUGUCCGGUGUGCCAGCGGAGCAACGGCUCCCUGCGGCGCCAACGGCUCCCUGCGGUGCAUUAAAUGCGCGCGCAGCGCGCGCAGUCGUCAGACUCGCCCAUACCGGUGCACCGGACAUCAAACAGUGCAUGUCCGGUGUGCACCGGACACCCAGGCGGGCCCACAAGUCAGAAGCUCCAACGGUCAGAAUCCAACGGCAGUGAUGACGUGGCAGGGGCACCGGACUGUCCGGUGUGCACCGGACUGUCCGGUGCGCCAUCGAGCAGAAGCCUCCAGCCAACGGUCAAGUUUGGUGGUUGGGGCUAUAAAUACCCCAACCACCCCACCAUUCAUUGCAUCCAAGUUUUCCCACUUCUCAACCACUUACAAGAGCUAGGCAUUCAAUUCUAGACACAUUCAAAGAGAUCAAAUCCUCUCCAAUUCCACACAAAACCCUAGUGACUAGAGAGAGUGAUUUGCCGUGUUCUUUUGAGCUCUUGCGCUUGGAUCGCAUUCUUUCUUUCUCUUGUGCUCUUGUGAUCAACACUCAAUUGUAACCAAGGCAAGAGGCACCGAUUGUGUGGUGGCCCUUGCGGGGAAGUUUUGUUCCCGGUUGAUUGAGAAGAAGGAAAGCUCACUCGGUCGGAGGGACCGUUUGAGAGAGGGAAGGGUUGAAAGAGACCCGGCCUUUGUGGCCUCCUCAACGGGGAGUAGGUUUGCAAGAACCGAACCUCGGUAAAACAAAUCCGCGUGUCACUCUCUUUAUUUGCUUGCGAUUUGGUUUGUGCCCUCUCUUGUGGACUCAUUUAUUAUUACUAACGCUAACCCCGGCUUGUAGUUGUGUUUAUAUUUGUAAAUUUCAGUUUCGCCCUAUUCACCCCCCCUCUAGGCGACUAUCACCCCUCAAGGUGUUUUUAGGAGUAGGACGGUGUCAACGACUGUAGCAAAAUGGUUCGUGCUGGUCGCACGAGGGACAGUGGACAAGAUUUGCAGGUUCGGGCCGCUUAGAAGUGCGUAACACCCUACGUCCUGGUGAGUAUAUGAGCGUGGUUACAAGAGGGUUCUCUGUAGAGAGUUUAUGUGGGUGGCUAAGUAGAACAGGGGCAAUCGUUCUGAAGGGGUGCCCCCUAGGUCUUAUAUACUCGACCGUGGGGCAGUACACGUGAGUAUGAUAACAACAAGUAGCUAAAAGAUAAUGAACCUCUUGAGUUUAUCCCUACGUAACCCUUGCCGACUUAUCCUCGCAUGGCUCUGUUGCAUGUGGGCUUCAGCGCGGGAAAGUCGGGUCUCCGUUGCGAUUCAUUCGCCCGACGUUGUGGGCCGUCUGGGUUUGCGCUAAUCAGUCUCACGUCUUCUUUUCUUUGUUGGUUGUCCUUCCCUAGGCCCACGAAAGAAUGACCUUACGAAUUAUUGGGCCCUUGGGCCUUUCGUGAGGCCUUUUACUUCUUUAGUGGACCCAGGGGAUAUCUAUCCCCCACAAGCCCCCGAUCUUUGGGUUGAUUUAGAGGUAAUCAACUCAAAGAUCCAAGGUCCAAAAAAUGACUUCCUGCUGUCUUCUCUAGCUCUGAUCACUCGUUUGACCAAAGUUUGGUUUUGUGCUUGUGCCUUAGAGGUUGGCAUUUUGGAUUGUAAGACUCUGGACUUCAUUGGGUGCACCGGAGGUGCACCCAAUGGGUGUAGCCCCCGACCUUUGAGUAGAUUUUAGAAGAUAAUCUACUCGAAGGUCUUCUUCCCAAGGUUAUCUCCAUUCGCGCUCCUGCAUCUCGGUUGAGGAUCGGUCUUUUCAGUCUUGCUCUACGCCUUAGAAGUCGGCGCUAUAUCGGCUUAGAAUAAUACUCCAUGGGGUGCACCGGAGGUGCACCCAAUGGGUGUAGUCCCCGACUUUCAAAUGGAUUUUUUAAGGAUAAUCCAUUCGAAGGUCUUCCUUUCGCUUGUGGAAACUGGCAUGAAGCUAUUUUGCAUUAUGCUUUGGAGGUCAGCAUUAUGUCAUCAAUAUUUUGCUGCGGAGGUCAGCGUAUAUUUUGCCUUGAGCAGCCGAGUUUGCAAUCUAUCCAUAUCUUGCUAGGUAGUGCAAUUUAUUUGCUUCUGUGAUUGAUUGGACGUUUGACAGACGUUCUCUGUCUAGUCUUCACGUCGCUUCUGUCGGCCAUAUCUUGUACUUUGCUGGCUAUAUUUGGCUUUCCACUGAUCCUUACUGAUAUCUCAUUUUUUUCUUGAGGUAUUCACUGCGUGCCCUGCUCGGAUGUGACCGUUUUGAAAAAUAUACUGAUAAUUCCUGGGCGUCCCCCCCCCCAAUGGGUGUGGGCAAGGGACGGCUUGGUACGCUGAGUGUUUUAGCCGGUUGCCUCUGAGUAGUAAUGCGAUGGGACGGCUAGUGUAAUCAUAUCCUUUGCGCUGUUGACUAGAGUCCCAAUGGGUGUAGUGUUGCAUGAAACGGCGUCCGCCGUCUGACGUGUCUUCAGAUGGGUGGAAGUGCUUAUUGAAUGCCUUGCGACUGUUCAGUGACCGCGGUUAGAAGUGAGCGGUUGCCUUUCCCUUCUAUAAAUAACCCCUUUGCUUCUCCGGUUUCUUCACAUCUCUUCGCUGCUCCUUACUGCCUUCUUUUCCUCCCCUUUGUCUGUUUCCACCAUGGGCAAGAACAACAAGCGCAAGCGCGAGCCGACUCCUCCAUCGGAGGAUUUCGGUGACUCGGAAUACUCGGAGGAGGAGUUCUCCUCCGAGUCCGAGGGGUCUCCGGCUCCCGUCUCUCCCCCGGCGUCGUCCGAUGACUCGGACGACUCCCAGGGGAUAGCCGCGGAGGUCUGGACGUACAUCCGGGCCGUCGAGCGCUCCGGGCUCGAGGGCUCGGAUGAGUCGGAGUACUCCUCGGAUGAGGAGGACUCGGACGGCGGCGACGAGGAUGAGGACGACGACGACGACGACGACGACGACGACGGCGACGGUGACGGCAGCGGCAGUGGCAGGGGCGACGGCGACGGCAGCAGGGGCGGCACCAAGGGCGACAGCAGCAAAGGCAGCACCAAGGGCGACGGCGGCGGCAGGGGCAGGGCCAGUGGCUAGAUGCCACUGGUCUUCUUAGAUGUUAGUAUAGUUUAGUAUAGCUAGAAUAAUGUAGUAGUAAUUAGUGUAGUUUAGUAGUAGUAGUAAUGUAGAGUAGAAGUAGGGAAGUACCAACUCGUGAAGAGUUGGUUUGUAAACUCGUUAACUUCCCUUUAACGAAAGACUGUCGUUGAUCCCCCCUUUUUGAUGACUUGUCGUUGCUUUUCCUGAGUGUUGAACCGAUUCUUUUGACAUAAUAGAUUCAACGCCGAGUGAUGUGGAGGUUGACAUCAGCGUUUUAGAAGUAACACCAAACAAUCGAACACAAGACCCGCGUUUUAGAGGCAAUGCCGAAUGAUAGAAGGUCGGCAUCGGCAUUUUAGAAGUAAUGCCGAGCGACAGAAUACGGGGUCGGCGUGUUAGAGGACACGCCGAGUGAUUUGAAGGUCAGCGUCGGCAUUUUAGAAGUAAUGUCGAGCGAUUGAACACGUGGUCGGCGUGUUAGAGGAUACGCCGAGUGAUUUGAAGGUCAGCGUCGGCAUUUUAGAAGUAAUGCCGAGCGAUUGAACACGUGGUCGGCGUGUUAGAGGAUACGCCGAGUGAUGUGAAGGUCGGCGUCGGCAUUUUAGAAGUAAUGCCGAGCGAUUGAACACGUGGUCGGCGUGUUAGAGGACACGCCGAGUGAUUGAAGGUCGACGUCGGCAUUUUAGAAGUAAUGCCGAGCGAUUGAACACGUGGUCGGCGCUUUAGAGGCAACGCCGAGUGAUUGAAGGUCGGCGUCGGCAUUUUAGAAAUAAUGCCGAGCGAUUGAACACGUGGUCGGCGUUUUAGAGGCAAUGCCGAGUGAUUGAAGGUCGGCGUCGGCAUUUUAGAAAUAAUGCCGAGCGAUUGAACACGUGGUUGGCGUUUUAGAGGCAACGCCGAGUGAUUGAAGGUCGGCGUCGGCAUUUUAGAAAUAAUGCCGAGCGAUUUGAACACGUGGUCGACGUUUAGUGGCAACGCCGAGUGAUAGCCAGCUUUUCAAGUUACUUUGAGGAAAAUAACCGAAUGAUGAGGUGGCACGUCGGCUUUCUUGGAAAUAUUUGUCGGAUAUCCACGUGGCAUGCCAGGAUUUCGGAGAUGACCGUCGGGUGAUGACUGGGCGCCUUUUUGAAAGGGUAUCUGGCUCAAGAAUAUUCCCUAAGAGUCGCGCUUUUAGCCGCCUUUGCUUUCCGUGCCCUAGUUCUUGCAUUUCCGCAUCUGAAUCUUCUCUGCCACUCGCCUCCUACUCUGUUCCGCCAGUGAGAAGCAAGAUGGCGCCCAAGAGAAAAACUGCGAACUCGUCUGCUGCAGUGAUCCCCGCAAUCGACCCCAACAGCCAGUUACCUUUCGCAGGUAACCACAUGUCUGUAAUUUCUGAAGCUGAGCUUCUUCGCCUUGUCUCCAUCGGGGUUCUUCCUCCGCGGGAACUCUGUUCUUGGCGGGCUUGCCACGGGACUACUGUCCCAACCGAAGAUACCCACGAGUCAGUAGUUUACACUCCUUUCCUUCUUCGCGGCCUCGGCCUUCCCAUAUCUCCUUUUUUCCGUGGCAUCCUUGAUUUUUAUCACAUCAACCUGACUCAUUUGAACCCUAAUUCCAUUCUCCAAAUCUCUAUUUUCGUUCACCUUUGCGAAGCUUAUCUCGGCGUGCUGCCGCAUUUUGGCUUAUGGAAAUAUCUGUAUCACUGUCGUCCUGGGAUGGCCGGGGGGCAACAUCAGUUGGUCGGAGGUGCCAGUUUGGAGAUGCGCCGUGGGCGGAAGACCGAGUAUCUCGAGAUACCCCUCAAGGACAGCAUUAAAGGUUGGCGUCUGGAGUGGUUUAUAAUUGAUAAUUAUGGAAAUUCUCUCCCUCCCCGCUCAGGAAGACAGCCAGAUGUUCGUACUCUGAGUUGGACUGAGUCUCCCACGGAUCAAGAAGUGGCCGAGGCGGGCGUGUUGCUUACUGAAAUCGGAUUACUGAAAGAGAGAGGUCUGACUGCCGAAGCUGUGGUCACAGAUUUCGUUUUCAAAAACAUUCAGCCGCUGAAAGACAGGGCCUAUCCGGCAUAUCUUUACCGAGGGCUGGCCGACUCAACCCGAGUUACCAAUAGGAGAAUUCCUUCUGUUGAUUUGGUAAGCCGACUCGAACUGAUCCUCAGGGGUAAAGUUUCAAACGUUGGUGCUCCAGUGGCUUACUCGGCUUGGAACCUUCCUUCUCCCAAAGCUUUCACCCUUUUUGUGUCCAAUCCACCCGUGACUGAUAGCAAUUUGGGUCUUAGAGUGCGACCUUCUGCCGAGGAAGUCAGUGCUUUGGUUGCUUCGCUCGGGGCAAUUCCUGAUGAUGAACGGCAGGUUUAUUUCGAAGUGCCUCUGAACCCCAGUGAUGCUGACAUAAAUGAUAUGCUCGAUCUACUAGCUGAGGAUUCAUCCGAUGUUGCUCCUGAUGGUACAUUGGCAGUGGUGCCCCUUCCAGAGGUUGAUGCGACCUUGGACGUCCCAAAACCUGUCAGUACUCGCCCGAGGCGCCCUAGCCGAACCAGUCAGCCCGAGCCUUCUGCUGAUGAGCAGAAAAAGAAGAGAAGACGCCUCCGGCGAGUAUCCAGCUUUGACGAAGAUGCCAGUACCUUAGCUCCUGCUGCCGAAGAAAUGACUGCAACUGGCCUUGCUGACAUUGAUCCCAAUGGGUGUGCUCCGCCUGCUGCUGAUCCCAAUGAGGAUGCUGUUUGUGCUGUUACUGGGAGGAUGAGGAGGAAGAAAAUGAAAUUCCAUUAACUCGGAAAAACAGUCGGCAGUUCGUCGCUAGCGGUGGAAGUAGUGGAGUUCCUUCUCCCGCCUUGUCUGCCCUUAUCGGUCUGCAAGAACUGUCCAUGGCCAAUUUUGAUCAAGCUCUAGAGGAUAUGGUCCCUGAGAACUUGUUGUUGGAACCUGCAGACGCUGAUGCGACAGAAACUUGUGCAGCCGUGCCAGAUGCUGGGUUGAGGUCAUCCCGUGCCUCGUCGACCUUAGAGCAUGAUCUCGAGGGUCGGGAUGCUGCCCUGGAUCGUUCUGAUCCCAUGAAAGUAGCCGAAGGCCCGUCAACCUUAGAGGUGGUCACGGCAGAGAGCCUGGGUCCCAAGAAUGGCGCUGAUAUAUGCCCAGCCCCCGAGGAUGUCGUCGGGAGUGACUUAGCUCGGGCGAAGAGUGUAGGCCACUGCCCAGCCCCCGAGGGUGUUGCCGGGGAUGAUCCGGCUCAGGUGGGCAGUGCCGACUGUGACCCAGCCCCCGAGGGUGCCCGAGCAGGGUCUCCUUCCUGCACUUCCAUGGACGUUCACGCGGGUUCACCUCCACGCUCUGGCGGCAUGGUGGUGGCUCAAACUCCAGAUCAGGGGGUCGCUUUAGAGGGCAGCAUCCCCACUGGUCUGGCGUUAGGCUCUGCUGAAUGUACUGAGCUCGUUCCUGCUGGUCUGCUGCAAGCUGCUUCGGAUGGCGGUCUUGCACCUGAUUAUCCACUGAUCUCUCCUGAUUUGGGAAUAUCUUCGUUCUUCUCCAACCUCCAGGUAAUUGUGCUGUAUUGUAGCUUGAUCCCUACAUUGUAUGAACUGUUUCCAUUCUACUCAUCUGUUCUUCUCAUUAGGCUUUAGUGAAUGGGAUGGCUAGCCAGCUGAGAUUGCGGGGUGCUUCUGUCCCGGAAGUGGCUUCGUCUCUUGUAUGCUGGAAUCCAGUGUCGCUUCAACGUCGUGUGUCUGAGUUGGAGGCAACAAAUGCUGGUCGGUGCUCUUUUCCUUCUUCUUCUUUGCCUUUGCUCGUGGAUUGUUUUACCUUCUGACCUUAUUUCGUUUGAUUACCCCUUGAUAGGAAUGACUCGGCAGAUUGCAGUUCUUGAAGAAAAACAUUCCCAAGAUCAAGCUGAAAUGGCUCAACGGUGCGCUGACUUCGAGGAGAAGUAUUCUCAGAGUCAGAUCGAAUUGAGUCAGGUAUCUGCGGCUUUGGAUGAUGCCAACGCUCUGAGUUCUUCUCUUCAUGCUCAGCUUGACUCUGAGAAGGUAGCUUACGAACCCGUGCUUUGCCUUAUCAUGCUCUUGGAUUCUGAAUGAGUUGAUUUUUUGCUUGUAGGAAGAAAAACGCAUCCUUGCUGCUUCUCGCGACAACCUUGACAGAUUGUACCAAGAUUCCAGCAACUCGCUGACCAUCUUGGAGAGGAGCCACCGCUUUACGAUGGAGGAGCUGGACAAUCAGCGUCGUCAGCUGCAAGAAUCCUCGGACGAAGUGACCCGCCUUACACAGUUGCUAUCAGCAAAGGAUACCACCAUCAAGGGACUCCAAGCUUCUAAGAAAUCCAUUGCUCAAGAGUUAGAAACUGCCCAGCAGGCUGUUAAAGUUGCCGAAGAAACUGUGGUCACUUUCAAAGCUCAGCGCGAUAAGGCCCUGAACAAGGCCAUUCGAGCGGGACGAAUCUUGAUGAGAAGACCUGGCGUGGUUGUCCCUGAAGAUAUAAGAGCCGAUGUGAAUGCUGCCCCUGACUCCUCGAAUCGCCCUUCUUCGUCAGUCGUUCCUGAGAAAGACAUUGGAAAAUAAAGAAACAGUUCGUGUGCUCUGAGCGCGCAGUUAGCAUGAUCAAGUACUCGUUAGAGGUUAUCGGCUUAUCAUUCAAAUGACAUCAUCAUUUUCUUAUUGUACCCGAAUUUCGAAUUUGUGGUAACGCUACAUGAUGAUUAUGAAGUUUGUUUGUGGGAUAUGGAAAUCAUCCCCUGAACUGCGUAAGCGUGAGUAUGCUAUACCGGUUUAAACCGUAAAUGACUUUUAGGCGAUAACUCCGUUAGUAGGGUAUAGUGGUCCCCCUAGGUAAAGUAAGCGUGAGCACGUUGCACCGUCUUAAGUCGUUGCCGACUUAAGUCGAUUGCUUCGUUUGUAGGGCAUAGUGGUCACCCUGAGUUAAGUAAGCGUGAGCAUGUUGCACCGUCUUAAGUCGUUGCCGACUUAAGUCGAUUGCUCCGUUUGUAGGGCAUAGUGGUCACCCCGAGUUAAGUAAGCGUGAGCAUGUUGCACCGCCUUAAGUCGUUGCCGACUUAAGUCGAUUGCUCCGUUUGUAGGGCAUAGUGGUCACCCCGAGUUAAGUAAGCGUGAGCAUGUUGCACCGCCUUAAGUCGUUGCCGACUUAAGUCGAUUGCUCCGUUUGUAGGGCAUAGUGGUCACCCCGAGUUAAGUAAGCGUGAGCAUGUUGCACCGCCUUAAGUCGUUGCCGACUUAAGUCGAUUGCUCCGUUUGUAGGGCAUAGUGGUCACCCCGAGUUAAGUAAGAAUGCAAGUCAAUCAUAAACGAACCGAGUAUCUUUGAAAUCUAUCUUUAUUGAUGACAUAUUUCCACUUUACAUAGUACAUGGUCGCCCCGGCUGUUUUGAAAUACAGCUAGGGGUAAAACUUUCUGAGGUGCUCUAUGUUCCAAGAGUUCCCAACUUCUGUGCCAUCCGUCUGGGUGAGGCGAUACGAUCCGGGCCGAGUGACCUCUGCUACUAUGAAGGGUCCUUCCCAUAAGGGUGAUAGCUUGUGCCGUCCCUCCCCCGUUAGAAUUCGGCGGAGGACGAGGUCUCCUACUGAAAAGAACCGUUGCCGCACAGCCUUAUCGUGAUAGCGCCUUAGAGUCUGCUGGUACCGUGCUGAUUGGAUUACUGCAUUCAGUCGUUCUUCCUCAAGUACAUCAAUAUCCUCCAGCCUGGUGGCCUCAGCUUCCGCUAUGCUUUCGAAGAUCAAUCUUGGCGACCCAAACUUGAGGUCAGCAGGUAGCACUGCCUCUGACCCAUAGACCAUGAAGAAAGGAGUGUUUCCAUGCAGGGCUCGGCUAGGUUGGGUUCUCAGGCUCCAAACGACAUAAGGUAGUUCUCUUAUCCAUUUUCCUGCGAAUUUUUCAUUCUUAUCGAAGACCCUUUUCCUGAGUGCCUCCAAUAUCAUUCCGUUGGCUCGCUCAACCUGCCCGUUGGCUCUUGGAUGCGCUACAGAUGCGUAUUUGAUCUGAAUGCUUUUUUGCUCGCAGAAGUCAAAGAAUUCUGAGCUGGUGAAGUUGGAUCCUAAGUCAGUGAUGAUGCUGUUUGGUAUCCCGAAUCUGAAUAUUAUAUCCUGUAUGAAUUCCACGGCCUUGGCAGAGGUUAAAGAAGCAAUGGGCUUGAACUCUAUCCAUUUAGUGAAUUUGUCAAUUGCCACCAAUACGUGGGUGUAACCUCCUUGAGCUUUCUUGAAAGGUCCAAUCAUAUCCAAUCCCCAGCAUGCGAAAGGCCAAGUUACUGGUAUGGUCUGUAGCUGCUGUGCUGGCAUGUGCUGUUGCUUUGACAGGUAUUGACAAGCUUCGCAUCUCUGAACUAACUCGGCUGCGUCGUUCUUCGCCGUCGGCCAAUAGAAUCCUGACCUGAAGACCUUCCCGACUAGUGUUCUGGAGGCUGCAUGUAUUCCACAUUGCCCUGCAUGGACCUCCUCCAGAAGUUGCUUCCCAGUGGACGGGUUCCUUGUUGUGAAGAAUGUCCCCUAUUAGAAAACCAGUAACUACUAUGACUUUGUGGUCGUCAAAGUAGUGGCGUAGCUUGCGGGCAGUUAGAAGUACUGCAUAUAAUAGCUUCUGAACUUGAGGAUACUUUUUCUUCGAUGGACCCAGAACUUCACUGAUGAAGUAGACAGGAUGUUGUACCGGAUAAGCAUGCCCUUCUUCCACUCGUUCGACUACCAACACAGUGCUUACCACGUGAGUCGUACAAGAGAUAUAUAGCAGCAAAUCUUCAGCUGGUUGAGUUGGCGUAGCUCGCCGGGGCGGCUUUAGUACUGAUGGUGUUGUCAGGAAUUUCUUAAGUGCAUCUAGAGCUUCUUGUGCUUCUGAAGUCCAUUGAAACUUAUCUACCUUCUUAAGCAGCUUGUAAAACGGCAAGCCUUUCUCCCCCAGUCUGGAUAUAAAUCUGCUUAGAGCUGCCAUACAUCCUGUGAGUCGCUGAACCUUCUUUUGUGACCGAGGAGCUUCCAUCUUCAUGAUAGCUUCAAUCUUAUCUGGAUUAGCCUCAAUUCCCCGGUGGCUGACGAUAAAUCCGAGCAACUUUCCUGCUGGUACCCCGAAAACGCAUUUUUCAGGAUUGAGCUUCCAUCUAUAUCUUCUCAGGCUGUUGAAAACCAGCUGUAAGUCUUCAAUGAAGUUUUCCGGAUUCUCAGUUUUGAUCACCACGUCAUCAACGUAAGCCUCCACACGCUUGCCCCAGUGAUCGGCUAAGCAUGUUUGAAUGGCUCUCUGAUAAGUCGCUCCAGCGUUUUUGAGGCCGAACGGCAUGGAGGUAUAACAGAAGGCACCAAACGGAGUGAUGAACGCCGUUUUUUCCUCGUCUUCUUUUGCCAAACUAAUCUGAUGAUACCCGGAAUAGCAAUCUAAGAAAGACAACACAGAACAUCCAGCGGUGGAAUCCACCACCUGAUCUAUCCUCGGGAGCCCGAAGGGAUCCUUCGGACAGUGUUUGUUGAGAUCGGUAUAGUCGACGCACAUGCGCCAAUCCACUUUAUUCUUUUUGAGUACAAGAACAGGAUUGGCUAACCACUCAGGGUGUAAUACUUCUCUAAUAAAUCCAGCCGCGACCAGGCGAGUUAAUUCGGCACGAAUGGCUUCUCUCUUGUCGGGCGUGAAACGACGUAGCUUUUGUCGAAUCGGCCUCGCCUGGGGGUAGACUUUCAGUUUGUGCUCGGCCAGUUCUCUUGGGACUCCCGGCAUAUCCGCAGGUUGCCACGCGAAUACAUCCCGGUUAUCUUGCAGAAACUGGACGAGCGCGCUUUCCUAUUUGUCGUUCAAACUGGAGCUGAUGACAGCCGUCUUGCGCUCGUCAGCGAAUCCCAGGUUGAUUCUUUUGGUUUCUUCAGUUGGCCGCAUAGAGGUCGCGGCCUGAGUUUCAUUCGCCGGUACCGUGAGGCCUUCCUCAGGCUUAGAGUUCGCCGAUGUAGAAGGAACCGUCGACGGCUUGGUGGUGAGGGCUGCCUGAAUGGCCACUCGGAAACACUCUGCGGCGCCUUGGAAGUCGGCACGCACAGUUAUGAUUCCUCGUGGUCCCGGCAUCUUCAGUAUCAUGUAUGUAUAGUGCGGAAUGGCCAUGAAUUUGGCCAGUCCCGGCCUCCCGAUGAUGGCGUUGUACCCGCAGUCGAAGUUCGCCACCUCGAACCUCAGGAACUCGGUUCUGUAGUUCUCCGGAGUUCCGAAGGUGACCGGCAUGUAGAUGUGGCCCAGCGGGUAUUCCCCUUCCGUCGGCACGAUGCCGAAGAAAGGAGUGUCCGACUCGUGGAGCUCCUUGAGGUGAACUCCCAAGCCUUGGAGCGUACGGGGGAAGGUGACGUUGAUGCUGCUCCCCCCGUCCACUAGCACCUUCUUUACCCGGCUCUCUCGGAUCACCGGAUCGACGAGGAGCGGGUAUUUGCCUGGAUGGUCGAAGUUGAGCCACUGAUCCUCCCGAGUGAAAGUGAUCGGGUGCUCCGACCACCGGUACGGGGCGGGAGGACCGGUGGUCGCCACCAGUAUCUGGCGGUCGUUGAGCUUUUGUUGUCUUUUGUUCUCCUGCGACCCAUGUCCGCCGAAGAUGACGUUGACCUCCCUGUCAACGCGCGGGAAAGCUCCUCCUCCCCCCUCCUCCUGCCGAUGGGGCUGUCGUGGUUCAUCUGGUCCUCCCCUCGGCGGAGGAGGCGGUAGAGGUUGGAAGGGUCGGCCGUGCCCGACGGAGUGCUUGAAGUCCCGGCAGUUGCGAAGGGUGUGGCGCAUGUCCUUGUGGUACGGGCACUGGGCGUCGAGGAUGUCGUCCAGCGUGCGCUCACCUCCACGAGGUCCUCCUCGGGCGCGAGAGGCGGGUGGUCCGGCGACGUGUACUUCUUCUCGAGGCCUCUUCUCCCAGCGCUUGUCGGAUGGCUGGUUCGCGUCACGUCGUGGCGCUGCCGGUGCAGGCUUUGCUCCUCCAAUGAGAUCCUGGGCCCGCUCGUCGGCGGUGAUGUAGAGGUCGGCUUCUCAGAACAGCUCCUCGGAGGUAGUCGGCGCCUUUUGUAGUAUGGCUCAGACGAAAACCGAGUCAUUGGAUCCUCUGUAGAAGUCCUCGAUCACGGCCGCCUCCGUGACCUCGGGGAUGCGGUUUCUCAUGGUCUGGAACCUUUUAAGGUAUGACCGGAGAGUCUCAUCCCCCCGGCGCUUGAUGGAUUUGAGGUCCCAUGGUUGCGCCGGCUUGUCGGAGAGGGACUGGAAGUUGGCGGUGAAACGUCGACUGAAGUCUCCCCAGUCGUCGAUGCAGUGUCGGGGUAGAUGUCGCAGCCACUGCAGCGCAUCUUGCCCAAGGACGAUGGGCAGAUACGCGGUCAUGACGUCUUCGGAUGCUCCGGCAGCCCGAGCGGCAGUGGUGUAGACGGCUAACCAACCCCCUGGAUCCUGCUUAGGUUCAUAUUUGUCGACAUUGGAUACCUUGAAGUUGGGAGGCCAUUGGAUGGCCCUAAGGCGCGGAGUAAGAGCAGAUACUCCGCACGUGUCCUCCUGUCGUCGGGGAUGACGUCUGUCCCGGGGAGGGGAGUGGUGGUGGCGGUUCCUCGACCGUCCCCGGGUGGUACCGCCAGUUGAAGCUGUUGCCGACUCAGUCCUGGUGGCCUGGCUUUGAGUCGGGAAGCCAUGAUCUCGGUCAUACUCCUCCCGACGGUGAAUUUCGUUCUCAUGCCGCCGUUCGCGCGAAGCAUUGAUGGAGCUUCGCGCGUCUCGGCGACUGUUGAUGGUGUGUCGCAAAUCGUUCGGCGGGUGAGCGAGCGGUAGAAGAUGGUUGGCCGCCUGAGUAAACAGGCGUCGGUAUCCCUCGGCGUCGGGAGUCCGAGGAAGUCCGUCAGCUAUCCGAGCUAGAACGCCUCCGACUUCGCUCGGCGUGUUCAUAGCUCGAGCGAAGUCGGGGUUCAAGUUGCGCCCGAAGAGCGGAUUCUCGCGUCGUUGCCUUGCAUCUUGCUCGGCUUGCUCCUGAGUCCGACGGCGAUCACGUCGUCGAGAGUUCCUUCGUUCCCUGAGGACGCGUUCUUCCGGAGUUUCUCCUAUCUCUGAGACCUCGUCUCGCGAGACAGGCUGCUCCGGAUCCCUUUCUCCAGCUGCGUGAUGUCGUCGAACGUUCCUGCGUCGGUUCCUUCGUCGGCGGGAUUCUCGCUGAGGCGGUUCUUCUCCAGGCGCGGUCGGUUCAUCGUCGGAGAUGGCGGGCGACUCUGCUCUCCCGAUGAAGAGGACGUCGGGGUAGAACGGUAUUGCUGCCACGGCGACUUUCUUUCCGUUCUCCUUUGAGGUCGGAGGAACGGGAAGAACGACUUGCCUCUCCCUGGUCUCCUUCUUUCUCACGACCCGUGUCCAUUCUUUCGUCGGGGAAGUAGACAGCGGAGUCUUCCGGGUCAGCGAGCUUCUAGCUCCAGCCUCCCCGGAGACGAUCUUUUUCCGAAGAGCCGGAGGUAGCGUCUUUCCAGCAUUUUCGGAGUUUGUUGGAGGAGACUUCUGUUCCGGCAGAUCUGCGAGGCGGUGUAGAAUUCCUUCUUCAUCUGCUACGGACGAGAUUGUCCCGAAGCAGAAUACAGAUCCGGGACGUACGACGAUUUUGCUGUGGAAGGUGACGACCAUUGAGCUAGCUUGGAUCGUCAACACACCCCCUACCUGGCGCGCCAGCUGUCGGUGUUUUGGGUCCGACCGCACACCCGGGGUUGCCCCUCAAGGUGUUUUUAGGAGUAGGACGGUGUCAACGACUGUAGCAAAAUGGUUCGUGCUGGUCGCACGAGGGACAGUGGACAAGAUUUGCAGGUUCGGGCCGCUUAGAAGUGCGUAACACCCUACGUCCUGGUGAGUAUAUGAGCGUGGUUACAAGAGGGUUCUCUGUAGAGAGUUUAUGUGGGUGGCUAAGUAGAACAGGGGCGAUCGUUCUGAAGGGGUGCCCCCUAGGUCUUAUAUACUCGACCGUGGGGCAGUACACGUGAGUAUGAUAACAACAAGUAGCUAAAAGAUAAUGAACCUCUUGAGUUUAUCCCUACGUAACCCUUGCCGACUUAUCCUCGCAUGGCUCUGUUGCAUGUGGGCUUCAGCGCGAGAAAGUCGGGUCUCCGUUGUGAUUCAUUCGCCCGACGUUGUGGGCCGUCUGGGUUUGCGCUAAUCAGUCUCACGUCUUCUUUUCUUUGUUGGUUGUCCUUCCCUAGGCCCACGAAAGAAUGACCUUACGAAUUAUUGGGCCCUUGGGCCUUUCGUGAGGCCUUUUACUUCUUUAGUGGACCCAGGGGAUAUCUAUCCCCCACAGCUGCAGCGACAGCGGCGAGGGCAGCACGGCUGGCGGCGGCGAAACUGGCAGCAGCGAGAGCGGAAGUAGAAGCAGCGGAGGCGGCGGAUGCUGCACGUGCGGCGGCAGCAGAGCUCGAGGCUCUGUGCGGCAGUAGAGCCGGCAGCUCUGCUUCUGUCGACGACAACACCGACGAAGAGCUCAGGCUGGCGAGGGAAGCAGCGCGAGAGCAGGCGGCAUAGUGGGCAGCCGCACAUCCCCAUGGGGGCGCGCGUGGCGGCAGCCCAGAUAGGCGCCGACGCGCCGCCGACGCUCCGGGAGAGGGUGCAUGCGGCGGCAGCCCAGACGGGCGUAGACACACCGGCGGUGCUCCCGGCCGCGGCGACCGAGUCGACGGAGAUCGCGGCCUCUACAGGCAGCGUGACUCUCCCUCCUCGGAUCGGUACCAUGGUCGCAGCAUGGCCCAUGCCAUUGUCAGGAACAUCUAUCCCGGCGGUGGGUGGCCUACCCUUACCAAGGCCAACUACGUCGAGUGGGCCACGAUGAUGAGGGUACGGGUUCAGGUUUGCCACAUGUGGGAAGCAGUUCGAUACGGCGACGUCGACUACCACGAGGAUCGACGGGCGCUUGAUGACCUCAUUGCUGCAGUCCUGUCCGAGAUACAAUUUUCGCUUUCCCAGAAGCGGACUGCCAAGGAGGCCUGGGACGCCAUCGCUGCGAUCCGCACCGGCAGCGACCGUGCCCGUAAGACCACACUGCAGGCACUUCACAAGGAGUGGGAGAACCUGGCCUUCAAGCCAGGUGAGGAUGUUGAUGACUUUGCUCUCCGCCUCAACACUCUGUUGCAGAAGAUGGUGCAGUUCGGCGACGACACCUACAAUGAGGAGAGAGCUAUUGAGAAGCUCUUCUGUUGCAUCCCGAGAAGUACAAGCAGAUUGCUCGCUCGAUCGAGUCUCUGCUAGACCUCUCCACGAUGACGAUCGAAGAGGCGAUAGGUCGUCUCAAGGUGGUCGACGGCGACGAACCAUAGGCUCCCUCUGGGCCUAUCACUAUCGGCGGGAAGCUACAUCUCACUCGGGAGCAGUGGGAGGCCUGCCAGGGUGACAAGAAGAAGGGGGAGUCCUCCUCAACACGAGGCCGCAAACGCGGCAAGCCGCGCAAGGCGCGUGGAGGCGCCCAGGCCAGGGCGCGAGGACACGCUGAGGGUGGUGCCCGUGGAGAUGCCCAAGGCGACGCCGUCGGCAACAAGAAGUCGGCACGAGACGACGGCUGUCACAACUGUGGCAAGCUUGGCCACUGGGCCAGGGACUAUCGACAACCACGACGUGGCCAGGCCAAUGUCGCACAGGCGGAGGCGGAGGAGGCUCUGCUCCUAGCACAUGCAAGCAUCGAGCUAUCUCCAGCGGCACCGGCCGCAGCGACACUCCACCACCUUGAUGAGUCGAAAGCACGCUGAAAGGGAAAUGUGCCCUUGGGCCAUUUCUAAGUAUUUUGGUGAUUGAGUGCAAACACAAGUGCUUAAAUGUGAAAAUAUGUCCAUGGAUGAACAAAGUGCAAAUCACAAGUUAAGGUAUGUUUCUAAGCCUUAGUACAUUGGUUUUGUGUACUAAUAUUCUUGUCUAAGUGUUAGAAACAGAAAGAAGAAGAGAAGAGAAGACUUGGCUGUGUACAGCCAGGAGGCUGUUUCGGUCUGGGGCACCGGACUGUCCGGUGGUGCACCGGACAGUGUCCGGUGGUGCACCGGACAGUGUCCGGCGCGCCAGGCUGCUCCAGCCGAAGAGGCCGCUCUCGGGUUUUUCUCCGGCGACUUCGGCUAAAAUUCACCGGACUGUCCGGUGUGCACCGGACUGUCCGGUGAGCCAACGGUCGGCCGGGCCAACGGUCGGCCGCGCGAUCGGCGCGCGACACGUGGCCGGGCCAACGGUCGGAAGGAAGCACCGGACUGUCCGGUGUGCACCGGACUGUCCGGUGCGCCAGAUCUGCAACGGUCGGCAACGGUCGGCUGCGAUGUUUAUGGAAAUAAAUCGGGCACCGGACAGUGUCCGGUGUGCACCGGACUGUCCGGUGCGCCCGACGACAGAAGGCGAGGAUAGCCUUCCAGAUGUGCUCUCAACGGCUCCUAGCUGCCUUGGGGCUAUAAAAGGGACCCCUAGGCGCAUGGAGGAGAAUACCAAGCAUUCCGACAACUCUUCUAAGCACCAAGACAUCAAUCUCACGCAUUCGUUUCAUUGUGAUAGCAUAUAGAGCUCUUGUGGAGUUGUGAACUCUUUGUGUUGCGUUGCGAGCUCUUGUUGCGACUUAUGUGCGUGUUGUUGCUCUGAUUUUCGAGUCUUGUGUGCGUUGCUCAUUCCCACCUUACUCCGUAUUUCUUUGUGAACUCAAUUGUAAGGGCGAGAGACUCCAAGUUGUGGAGAUUCCUCGCAAACGGGAAAAGAUCAAAGGAAAGAAAAACACCGUGGUAUUCAAGUUGAUCAUUGGAUCACUUGAGAGGAGUUGAGUGCAACUCUCGUCCGUUGGGACGCCACAACGUGGAGUAGGCAAGUUUUGUACUUGGCCGAACCACGGGAUAACCACCGUGUCAACUCUGUGAUUGCUUUCUUGUGGUUAUUGUGUUUUGACUCCUCUCUAGCCACUUGGCCAUACUUGUGCUAACCCUUAACAAGUUUUUGUGGCUUAAGUUUUGAAGUUUUACAGGAUCACCUAUUCACCCCCCCUCUAGGUGCUCUCAAUUGGUAUCAGAGCCGUUCUCUUCAAGAAAGGGACUAACCGCCCGAAGAGAUGGAUCCUAAGGGGAAGGGAAUUGUGAUCAACGACAAGGAGAAGGAGUCCUUCGUCAACGAGCCAAGGGAUGACAAGUCCAAUGACUCGGGCUCGGGCCACAAGCGAAAAGAUGGGAAGAAGAAGAAGACAAGACGCAUCAAGGAGAUCGUCUACUACGACAGCGAUGAGUCCUCUUCUUCCCAAAAAGACGACGACCACGACAAACAAAGGAAACCGGUUAAUUCUAACUUUUCUUUUGACUACUCUCGUAUUCCGCAAAGUUCAAAUUCAUAUUUGCUUUCCAUUCCACUCGGCAAGCCCCCACACUUUGAUGGGGAGGACUACGGAUUUUGGAGCCACAAAAUGCGUAGUCACCUAUUCUCUCUCCAUCCUAGCAUAUGGGAGAUUGUAGAUAGUGGAAUGCACUUUAAUAGUUCGGAUAGUCCUAUAUUCAUUAAUGAGCAAAUCCAUAAGAAUGCACAAGCUACUACUGUUCUUCUAGCCUCAUUGUGCAGGGAUGAAUAUAAUAAAGUGAGUGGCUUGGAUAACGCCAAGCAAAUCUGGGAUACCCUCAAGAUCUCUCAUGAGGGAAAUGACGCUACCUUGCUCACCAAAAUGGAGUUGGUGGAGGGCGAGCUUGGACGGUUCGCGAUGAUAAGGGGCGAGGAGCCAACUCAGACAUACAACCGGCUCAAGACCCUUAUCAACAAAAUAAGGAGCUACGGAAGCACGCGAUGGACGGACCACGACGUCGUCCGACUAAUGCUCAGGUCCUUUACCGUUCUUGAUCCUCAUUUGGUGAAUAAUAUUCGUGAGAAUCCCAGGUACACCAAAAUGUCGCCCGAAGAAGUCCUAGGAAAAUUCGUCAGCGGGCGAAUGAUGAUCAAGGAGGCAAGGUAUGUGGACGACGCCUUGAAUGGACCGAUCAACGAGCCACAACCUUUUGCUCUCAAAGCCACAGGGAACAAGGAGGCGCUACCCAGCAAGGUGGCGCAAAUUGAGGCGGCCGGUCUUAAUGAAGAAGAAAUGGCCCUCAUUAUCAAGAGAUUCAAGACGGUGCUAAAGGGUCGCAAUGGACAGCCGAGCAAGACUAAGACCAAGGGGAAGCGAUCAUGCUUCAAAUGCGGUAAGCUUGAUCAUUUUAUUGCUAACUGUCCCGAUAAUGAUAGUGACCAGGAAAAGGGAAACAAGAGGGAAAAGAAGAAGCAUUACAAGAAGGCAAAGGGCGAGGCGCAUCUAGGCAAGGAGUGGGACUCGGAUUGCUCCUCGUCCGACUCCGACAAUGAAGGACUCGCCGCCACCGCCUUCAACAAAUCAACCCUCUUCCCCAACGAGCGUCACACAUGCCUUAUGGCAAGGGAGAAGAAGGUAUGUACUCGCAACUCUACCUAUGCUUCUUCAAGUGAGGACGAAUCUAGUGAUGAGGAUGAAGUAGAUUAUUCAUGUUUGUUCAAGGGCUUAGAUAGAUCUAAGAUAGACAAAAUUAAUGAAUUAAUUGAUGCCUUGAAUGAAAAGAAUAUACUUUUAGAAAAGCAAGAGGAUUUGUUGUAUGAAGAGCAUGAUAAAUUUGUUGAGGCACAAAAAUCCUAUGCUUUAGAAGUUAAGAGAAAUGAAAUGCUUUCUUUUGAACUAUCUACUUGUCAUGAAACCAUUUCUACUUUGAAAGGUGUCAACAAUGAUUUAAAUGCUAAAUUAGAAGUAGCAAAUAAAUCCAAUUCUUGUGUAGAACAUGUUGAAAUUUGUACUAGGUGUAAAGAUUUUGACAUUAAUGCUUGUAGUGAACACCUAGUUUCAAUUUCCAAGCUUAAUGAUGAACUGGCUAGUCUUAAUGCUCAACUUAAGACUAGCAAGAAUGAUUUCGAUAAGCUAAAAUUUGCAAGGGAUGCCUACACAAUUGGUAGACAUCCCUCAAUUAAGGAUGGACUUGGCUUCAAGAGAGAAGCUAAGAACUUAACAAGCCAUAAGGCUCCCAUUCCCGCCAAGGAGAAAGGGAAGGCCCCUAUGGCUAGUAAUGUGCAAAAGAACCAUGCUUUUAUGUAUUAUGACAGGAGACAAACUAGAAAUGCUUAUAGGAGUUAUAAUGCUUUUGAUGAUUUUGACUCUCAUGCCAUGUCUGCUUCUAGUUCUUCCUAUAUGCAUGGUAGAAAUAUGUCUAGAAAGAAUGCUAUUCAUACUCCUAGGAAAGUAGUGAAUGAACCUUCCACAAUUUAUUAUGCUUUAAAUGCUUCCUUUGCUAUUUGUAGAAAGGAUAAGAAAAUUGUUGCUAGGAAAUUAGGGGCAAAAUGCAAGGGAGACAAAACUUGCAUUUGGGUCCCUAAGGAUAUUUGCACUAACCUUGUAGGACCCAACAUGAGUUGGGUACCUAAGACCCAAGCCUAAAUAUGCCUUGCAGGUUUAUGCAUCCGGGGGUUCAAGCUGGAUUAUUGAUAGCGGAUGCACAAACCAUAUGACGGGGGAGAAGAAGAUGUUCACCUCCUACGUCAAGAAUAAGGAUUCCCAAGAUUCAAUCAUAUUCGGUGAUGGGAAUCAAGGCAAGGUAAAAGGGUUAGGUAAAAUUGCAAUUUCUAAUGAGCACUCUAUCUCUAAUGUGUUUUUAGUAGAGUCACUAGGAUAUAAUUUACUAUCUGUUAGUCAAUUGUGCCAUAUGGGAUAUAACUGUCUGUUUACAAAUUUAGAUGUGUCUGUCUUUAGAAGAAGUGAUGGUUCACUAGCUUUUAAGGGUGUAUUAGACGGCAAACUUUAUUUAGUUGAUUUUGCAAAAGAAGAGGCCGGUCUAGAUGCAUGCUUAAUGGCUAAGACUUGCAUGGGCUGGCUGUGGCAUCGCCGCUUAGCACAUGUGGGGAUGAAGAACCUUCACAAGCUUCUAAAGGGAGAACAUGUGAUAGGUCUAACCAAUGUUCAUUUCGAAAAAGAUAGACCUUGUGCAGCUUGUCAAGCAGGGAAACAGGUGGGAGGAGCGCAUCACAGCAAGAAUGUGAUGACCACUUCAAGACCCCUGGAGCUGCUGCAUAUGGACCUCUUCGGACCCGUCGCCUAUCUAAGCAUAGGGGGAAGUAAGUAUGGUCUAGUUAUUGUUGAUGACUUUUCCCGCUUCACUUGGGUGUUCUUUUUGCAGGAUAAGUCUGAAACCCAAGGGACCCUCAAGCGCUUCCUCAGGAGGGCUCAAAAUGAGUUUGAGCUCAAAGUGAAAAAGAUAAGGAGCGACAACGGGUCCGAGUUCAAGAACCUUCAAGUGGAGGAGUUCCUUGAAGAAGAAGGGAUCAAGCACGAGUUCUCCGCUCCCUACACACCACAGCAAAAUGGUGUGGUAGAGAGGAAGAACAGGACGCUCAUCGACAUGGCGAGGACGAUGCUAGGAGAGUUCAAGACCCCCGAGUGCUUUUGGACGGAAGCCGUGAACACUGCUUGCCACGCCAUCAACAGGGUCUACCUUCAUCGCCUCCUCAAGAAGACGUCGUAUGAGCUACUAACCGGUAACAAACCCAAUGUAUCGUACUUUCGUGUAUUUGGGAGUAAAUGCUACAUUCUAGUAAAGAAGGGUAGAAAUUCUAAGUUUGCUCCCAAAGCUGUAGAAGGGUUUUUGUUAGGUUAUGACUCAAAUACAAAGGCGUAUAGAGUCUUCAACAAAUCAUCGGGUUUGGUUGAAGUCUCUAGCGACGUUGUAUUUGAUGAGACUAAUGGCUCUCCAAGAGAGCAAGUUGUUGAUUGUGAUGAUGUAGAUGAAGAAGAUGUUCCGACAGCCGCUAUACGAACCAUGGCGAUUGGAGAAGUACGGCCACAGGAACAAGAUAAACGAGAUCAACCUUCUUCCUCGACCAUGGUGCUACUCCCAACUCAAGACGAUGAACAGGUUCAUCAACAGGAGGCAUGUGAUCAAGGGGGAGCACAAGAUAAUCAUGUGAUGGAGGAAGAAGUGCAACCGGCACCUCCAACCCAAGUUCGAGCGAUGAUUCAAAGGGAUCAUCCCGUCGACCAAAUUCUGGGUGACAUUAGCAAGGGAGUAACUACUCGAUCUCGACUAGUUAAUUUUUGUGAGCAUUACUCUUUUGUCUCUUCUAUUGAGCCUUUCAGGGUAGAAGAGGCCUUGCUAGAUCCGGACUGGGUGUUGGCCAUGCAAGAGGAGUUAAACAACUUCAAGCGCAAUGAAGUUUGGACACUGGUGCCUCGUCCGAAGCAAAAUGUUGUGGGAACCAAGUGGGUGUUUUGCAACAAACAGGACGAGCACGGAGUGGUGACGAGGAACAAGGCUCGACUUGUGGCAAAAGGUUAUGCCCAAGUCGCAGGUUUGGAUUUCGAGGAGACCUUUGCUCCUGUGGCUAGGCUAGAAUCAAUUCGAAUCUUGCUAGCAUAUGCCGCUCACCAUUCUUUCAGGUUGUACCAAAUGGAUGUGAAGAGCGCUUUCCUCAACGGGCCAAUCAAGGAGGAGGUGUACGUGGAGCAACCCCCUGGCUUCGAGGAUGAACGGUACCCCGACCAUGUGUGUAAGCUCUCUAAGGCGCUCUAUGGACUUAAGCAAGCCCCAAGAGCAUGGUAUGAAUGCCUUAGAGACUUUUUACUUGCUAAUGCUUUCAAGGUUGGGAAGGCCGAUCCAACUCUUUUUACAAAGACAUGUGAUGGUGAUUUGUUUGUGUGCCAAAUUUAUGUCGAUGACAUAAUAUUUGGUUCUACUAACCAAAAGUCUUGUGAAGAGUUUAGCAGGGUGAUGACGCAGAAAUUCGAGAUGUCGAUGAUGGGCGAGUUGAACUACUUCCUUGGGUUCCAAGUGAAGCAACUCAAGGACGGCACCUUCAUCUCCCAAACGAAGUACACGCAAGAUCUGCUAAAGCGGUUUGGGAUGAAGGACGCCAAGCCCGCAAAGACUCCGAUGGGGACCGACGGACACACCGACCUCAACAAAGGAGGUAAGUCCGUUGAUCAAAAAGCAUACCGGUCAAUGAUAGGUUCCUUGCUUUACUUAUGUGCUAGUAGACCGGAUAUUAUGCUUAGCGUAUGCAUGUGUGCUAGAUUUCAAUCCGAUCCUAAGGAGUGUCACUUAGUGGCAGUGAAGCGAAUUCUUAGAUAUUUGGUUGCCACGCCUUGCUUCGGGCUCUGGUAUCCAAAGGGGUCUACCUUUGACUUAGUUGGAUACUCAGACUCCGACUAUGCUGGAUGUAAGGUCGAUAGGAAGAGUACAUCGGGGACGUGCCAAUUCUUAGGAAGGUCCCUCGUGUCAUGGAAUUCUAAGAAACAAACCUCCGUUGCCCUAUCCACCGCUGAGGCCGAGUACGUUGCCGCAGGUCAGUGUUGCGCGCAACUACUUUGGAUGAGGCAAACCCUCCGGGACUUUGGCUACAAUCUGAGCAAAGUCCCACUCCUAUGUGAUAAUGAGAGUGCUAUCCGCAUGGCGGAAAAUCCUGUUGAACACAGCCGCACAAAGCACAUAGACAUCCGGCAUCACUUUUUGAGAGACCACCAGCAAAAGGGGGAUAUCGAAGUGUUUCAUGUUAGCACCGAGAACCAGCUAGCCGAUAUCUUCACCAAGCCUCUAGAUGAGAAGACCUUUUGCAGGUUGCGUAGUGAGCUAAAUGUCUUAGAUUCGCGGAACUUGGAUUGAAUUGUAGCAUACAUGUACUUAUGCUUUUGAUCAUGUUUCUUUUUGCAUUUUGUUGCUUAUUAUGGUGCUCAAGUUGUACAAACACUCCCUGGACCUCACAAGUCCGUUGCAAAGUGAUGCACAUGUUUAGGGGGAGAUGUGUUACAACUUGACCCUUUGAGACUAACCAUGUGCUUGAGUUUGAUAAUUUAGUCUCGACGGAGGAUUGAAAGGGAAAAGGUGGACUUGGACCAUGAACGACUUCCACUGCACUCCGAUGAGAGGGUAACUAAUUCCACGUUCAUCUCAUGAAAUCUUAUUGCCAUUUGCUCUUAAUUGAAGACUUUGGUGAGGCAAUGGGGUUAAAAAGAGGCCAAGAUUAAUCCCGUUUUGGUGCUUGAUGCCAAAGGGGGAGAAAAUAAAGGCCAAAGUGAUAAAUGGAUCAGCUACCACUUGAGAGAUUUUGAAAAUAGUAGAAUAGAGUUUUGGUUUUGUCAAAAGCUUUUAUUGUCUCUUAUUGUCUCUAUUGUCAAAAGUUGGCUUCUUGUGGGGAGAAGUGUUGAUUAUGGGAAAUAGGGGGAGUUUUUGAAAUCCUUGAUCAAUCUCUUUUGGAAUGACUCUCUUUAUGCUUCAAUAUGUGUGUUUGACUUAGAGAUAGAGAUUUGAGUUUGAUUUGCAAAAACAAACCAAGUGGUGGCAAAAGAUGAUCCAUAUAUGUCAAAAUUGAAUCAAAACCAAUUUGAGUUUUUAUUUGAAGUGAUAUUGCACUUGUUCUAUUUACUUUAUGUUGUGUUGGCAUAAAUCACCAAAAAGGGGGAGAUUGAAAGGGAAAUGUGCCCUUGGGCCAUUUCUAAGUAUUUUGGUGAUUGAGUGCAAACACAAGUGCUUAAAUGUGAAAAUAUGUCCAUGGAUGAACAAAGUGCAAAUCACAAGUUAAGGUAUGUUUCUAAGCCUUAGUACAUUGGUUUUGUGUACUAAUAUUCUUGUCUAAGUGUUAGAAACAGAAAGAAGAAGAGAAGAGAAGACUUGGCUGUGUACAGCCAGGAGGCUGUUUCGGUCUGGGGCACCGGACUGUCCGGUGGUGCACCGGACAGUGUCCGGCGCGCCAGGCUGCUCCAGCCGAAGAGGCCGCUCUCGGGUUUUUCUCCGGCGACUUCGGCUAAAAUUCACCGGACUGUCCGGUGUGCACCGGACUGUCCGGUGAGCCAACGGUCGGCCGGGCCAACGGUCGGCCGCGCGAUCGGCGCGCGACACGUGGCCGGGCCAACGGUCGGAAGGAAGCACCGGACUGUCCGGUGUGCACCGGACUGUCCGGUGCGCCAGAUCUGCAACGGUCGGCAACGGUCGGCUGCGAUGUUUAUGGAAAUAAAUCGGGCACCGGACUGUCCGGUGCGCCCGACGACAGAAGGCGAGGAUAGCCUUCCAGAUGUGCUCUCAACGGCUCCUAGCUGCCUUGGGGCUAUAAAAGGGACCCCUAGGCGCAUGGAGGAGAAUACCAAGCAUUCCGACAACUCUUCUAAGCACCAAGACAUCAAUCUCACGCAUUCGUUUCAUUGUGAUAGCAUAUAGAGCUCUUGUGGAGUUGUGAACUCUUUGUGUUGCGUUGCGAGCUCUUGUUGCGACUUAUGUGCGUGUUGUUGCUCUGAUUUUCGAGUCUUGUGUGCGUUGCUCAUUCCCACCUUACUCCGUAUUUCUUUGUGAACUCAAUUGUAAGGGCGAGAGACUCCAAGUUGUGGAGAUUCCUCGCAAACGGGAAAAGAUCAAAGGAAAGAAAAACACCGUGGUAUUCAAGUUGAUCAUUGGAUCACUUGAGAGGAGUUGAGUGCAACUCUCGUCCGUUGGGACGUCACAACGUGGAGUAGGCACGUUUUGUACUUGGCCGAACCACGGGAUAACCACCGUGUCAACUCUGUGAUUGCUUUCUUGUGGUUAUUGUGUUUUGACUCCUCUCUAGCCACUUGGCCAUACUUGUGCUAACCCUUAACAAGUUUUUGUGGCUUAAGUUUUGAAGUUUUACAGGAUCACCUAUUCACCCCCCCCCUCUAGGUGCUCUCACACGCGCUUUCCUCGGCGACGGCUCUAGCAAAGACAUGAUCGAAGGAUGGUGCCUCGACACUGGCGCCACUCAUCACAUGACCGGCCGACGAGAGUUCUUCACCGAGCUUGACUCUAACGUCCGAGGCUCCGUCAAGUUUGGGGACGCCUUCGGCGUAGAAAUCAAGGGUGCUAGCUCAGUCGUCUUCACCGCCGCGUCUGGUGAGCACAGGCUGCUCACCGGAGUCUACUACAUCCCCGCGUUGAGGAACUCUAUCAUCAGCUUGAGAUAGCUAGAUGAGAACGGUUCGCGCGUGGAGGUCGAGCACGAAGUCAUGAGGAUCUGGGACCCCUCUCGUCGCCUUCUUGCCAAGGUACGUAGGAGUCCAAAUCGGCUAUACAUCCUCAAUGUGAAGGUGGCACAACCUUGCUGCCUUGCUGCUCGUCGAGACGACGGGGCAUGGCAGUGGCACGAGCGCUUCAGGCACCUUAACUUCGAGGCCCUGAAGCGGCUCAGUGCCAAGGAGAUGGUACGAGGCCUGCCGUGCCUUAACCAUGUGGAGCAAUUCUGCGAUGUCUGCGUGUUGACAAAGCAGAGACGGCUCCCCUUUCCCCAGCAAUCGAGCUUCCGAGCCAAGGAGAGGCUCGAGCUCGUGCAUGGGGACUUGUGUGGCCCGGUGACACUAGCCACACCAGGAGGACGACGCUACUUCUUGCUGCUCGUCGACGAUCUCUCCCGCUACAUGUGGGUGAUGAUCCUUGGUAGCAAGGGAGAGGCUGCGAACGCCAUCAGGCGUGUGCAGGUCACUGAGGAGGCGGAGUGCGACCGCAAGCUGUGCGUGCUGCGCACCGACAACGGUGGCGAAUUCACGGCGGUUGAGUUCGCGUCGUACUGCGCGGAUGAGGGCGUUCAGCGCCACUACUCCACGUCGUACAGCCCGCAGCAGAACGUCGUCGUCGAGCGGCGCAACCAGACGGUUGUGGGGAUGGCUCGGGCUCUCCUCAAACAGAGGGGAAUACCAACUGUCUUCUGGGGAGAGGCGGUGGUGACAGCGAUUUACAACUUUACAUCCUCAACCGCUCGCCCACCAAGGCUCUCAACGGGAUGACACCAUACGAGGCUUGGCAUGGGCGCAAGCCGGCGGUCUCUAACCUACGGGUCUUCGGCUGCCUCACGUUCACCAAGGAGCUUGGCCACAUUAGCAAGCUCGACGAUAGGAGCACUCUGGGGGUGUUCAUUGGCUACACGGAGGGCUCGAAGGCCUACCGCAUCCUUGACCCAGGAACACAGUGUGUGCGCACGGUGCGCGACAUAGUGUUCGACGAAGGGCAAGGAUGGGCGUGGGACAAGGCGGUGGACGACGGCACGACUCCGAUGUACGUCGACUUCACCAUCGAGUACGUCCACUUUGAGGGAUCUGGGGGAGUAGGCAACUCCUCUCGGAGCAGGUCUACCCUAGCCCCCAGGUCUCCACAGACUCCAGCGCCACGCUCUUCAGCUCCGGCUACAACAAGCUCUUCAUCACCACGCACUCCAGCCACGACUUCGGCUACAGUGAGCUCUUCGCCACCACGUACUCUAGCACCGACGGUACCCUCUCCGGGAACGUCCUCUCCGAUACCAGCUCGUGUCGAGCACGACCCAGUGGAGCUUGUGACCCCACUCUCCCACGACGAGGAGCGCGUCGACGCGUGCUACGACGACGAGUCGUUGCGGUAUCGAAGGGUGGAGGGCCUUCUCAUUGACCCAUCGGUGUCGGGCCCGGUGUCUCGCAUUCUGGCAGGAGAGUUGCAUCUUGCAUGUGACGAUGGUGAGCCUCGGUCUUUCACGGAGGCUGAGAAACAUGCGGCUUGGCAUGUCGUGAUGCAGUUGGAGAUGGACGCAGUUGAGACGAACCGCACUUGGGAGCUCGCUGAUCUCCCUCAUGGUCAUCGCGCGAUCACCCUUAAGUGGGUGUUCAAAUUGAAGAGGGAUGAAGCUGGCGCCAUCAUCAAGCAUAAGGCUCGCUUGGUGGCACGCGGUUUCUUGCCGUAGGAGGGGAUCGACUUCGACGAUGCCUUCGCCCCUGUGGCACGGAUGGAAUCCGUGCGACUCCUCGCGCUGGCAGCCCAGGAGAGCUAGCAUGUUCAUCACAUGGAUGUCAAGUCGGCGUUUCUUAACGGCGACUUAAAGGAGGAGGUCUACGUACACCAGCCGCUAGGUUUUGCGAUCCCUGGCAAGGAGGACAAGGUGUUGCGCCUGCGCAAGGCUCUCUAUGGCUGCGACAGGCACCGAGGGCGUGGAAUGCCAAGCUGGAUUCCACACUCAAAGGAAUGGGCUUCACGCCAAGCCCACACGAGGCGGCCAUCUAUCGACGGGGCAAUGGAGGAAGUGCCCUGCUAGUGGGUGUCUACGUCGACGACUUGGUGAUCACCGACACCAAGGAUGCAGAGGUGGCAGCAUUCAAGGAAGAGAUGAAGGCCACCUUCCAAAUGAGUGACCUGGGACAUCUCUCCUUCUACCUGGGGAUUGAGGUGCACCAGGGAGACUCCGGGAUCACACUUCGCUAGACCGCCUACGCCAAGCGCAUUGUUGAGCUGGCUGGGCUCACUGACUGCAACCUAGCUCUCACUCCGAUGGAGGAGAGGCUGAAGCUGAGUCGUGACAGCACGACGGAGGAGGUGGAUGCUACAUAGUACCGGCGUCUUGUGGGGAGCCUUCGCUACCUUGUCCACACACGGCCUGACUUGGCAUACUCCGUCGGCUACGUUAGUCGGGUCCUGUAGCGACCGACGACGGAGCAUGAGCAGGCUGUGAAGAGGAUCAUCUGCUAUGUUGCGGGGACUCUCGACCACGGUCUCUACUACCCGAGGUGCCCUAGGGAGGCACACCUUAUCGGGUACAGUGACAGCGACCACACCGGUGACAUCGACACUAGCAAGAGCACAAGCGGGAUCCUCUUCUUCCUCGGCAAGUGCCUCAUUAGCUGGCAGUCGGUCAAGCAGCAGGUGGUGGCCAUGUCCAGUUGCGAGGCCGAGUAUAUAGCGACGUCCACUGCUUCGACUCAGGGGCUCUGGCUGGCUCGACUGCUCGAUGAUCUCCUCAGGAGAGACACUGGAGCGGUGGAACUCAAGGUGGACAACCAGUCCGCUCUGGCAUUGGUCAAGAACCCCGUGUUCCAUGAACGGAGCAAGCACAUCCGGAUGAGAUACCACUUCAUCCGAGACUGCUUGGCAGAAGGGAGCAUCAAGGCGCGCUACAUCAGCACCAAGGAUCAGCUUGCAGACCUGCUCACCAAGCCCCUUGGGAAGAUCAAGUUUCUUGAGCUUUGCUCCAGGUCCGGGAUGACCCAACUUUCCCACAAGACAACGCCCAAGACUUAGGGGGAGAAUGAUGGAAUAAGUCUUGGGCAUCUAGAGGACAACAUUCGCUUUUUGACUGUCUUCUAUAGUCUCUUUAGCAUCUAGAGAACAACAAUCGCUUUUUGACUGUCCUCUGUAGUCUCUUUAGCAUCUAGAUGACAUCAAUCGCUUUUUGACUGUCCUCUGUAGUCUCUUUAGCAUCUAGAGGAUAGCAGUCGCUUUUUGACUGUCCUUUGUAGUCUCUUUAGUAUCUAGAGGACAAUCCUGCUAUGUAGUGUGUGUGAGAAGAUGUGGUAGUGCAGCCUCUAGGGCUAUAAAUAUGUGUCUCCAACCCUUAGAUGGGUAUGACAUUGUGUAGUGUUUGAUAAAAUAAACAGAAAAUAAAUUGUCUCAACUUAUAGUGUCAUCCUUUUGAUGAGAGUUAGAGUCCCUCUACUUACAUAUAUGUAUGUGGGGUACGAAAAAAUAAUGUGUAAAAUGUCCACUACUUAAAAAAGUCCAACUGGACCUGCAAAGCUAGGCCAUGCCACAAUAUUAUUGCUUAUCAUCCAAAGUUCCAGAUGGUCCCCCGACCGGUUUCCACGCUACUACAAGGCGACAAGAGAACAUACACAAGAACAACUAGAGAUUUGCAUUACAAUUUACAAUACAAAUGAGAGAGCACAGCUGCACAGGACAUCACUAGAGUCCGUUGACGGCACAAGGCUGUCAAGUUUCAGAGGUUUCUCAGUCUGAAAGCCAAUAAUCAGAGAACUAUCUUGGGCAAGGUGUCUCCAAGCCUUCCCAAAUUAUACCACCUUUCUACAGACCCAGCAUACCCCUGCUUGCUCCCGCCUCCCACCUCUGUGCCGAGGCAGCCACUGAUCCAGAUGGCGUUGGUGAUCUCAUGAACAUCGGUGCCACUAUCCGUUGGGGGGCUAUUGCAGCUUGCCCCGUCACUGCCAUACCAUUGGUCAGUAUGUCACGGUUAGCAACAGGGGCAGCUACGAGAAGGAAGCCCGUGUGCUGUGUGCUGUUACCAGCAGUAGCUGCUGUUGUGACAUUCUCUUGGAAGACCUCGGACGGCUUCGCUUCCCUUUGGGGCGUCUUGGCCCGGCGUCGUUUUUCUGAAGGGGCGGCCAAAGCUUCAGGGAUGGCAUUGUCACCGCCCAACAGGCUCUUCCUGUGCACAGAGCACAAAUCCGUUCCCCAUUUUGCGCUCGCGCCACACCCUUGGAACCUGCACCGGCUGCCCCCACCAUGCUUGAUGCAGAAAUCUGUGCGUCCCUGCGCACUCUUUGUACAUCCUUGGAACCUGCACCGCCUUCCCCCACCGUGCCUUAUGCAGUGAUCGGUGUUCCCUUGCGCGCCCUUCGCGCACCCUUCGAAUUUACAUCUCUUGCCGCCACCGUGCCUCACGCAGCGGUCGCUACGGCCUUGGCCACAUGCUGCAUUUGGGCAUCCAGGGACCACACACCGCCUCCCACCUCCGUGCCCAAUGCACAAAGGCGUGCCUCCAUGCGCACCUCUUGUACAGCCCCGUGCCAUGCAGCCCUUGUUAACGCCGCCGCUAUGCAACUUACAGUGGAUUGAGUUCUCGUGUGCUUGCUUGCUGCAGUUAUCGUUCUUGCAAAGCAUGCUUGCCCCAGAGAAGAUAAAUUGUGCAGCCUGACCCAAAGUGUACCCAGAACUAUCCUUUAGUUUACCUCGAUCACCACCUUCAUGCUUGACAUGUAACUCUUGCUCAGUGCAUGGCACUGCUGCAAUGGAAACAGAUCCCUUAAAUUGGCUGUCGUUAACAGGGCGCACAGAUAAACCUGAGCUCUCCAGUCCGCUCUGGAGGUAACUGAACUGUUGGCAUGACAACUCUCCACUGUGAAUUUUGCAGUACACUACCCUUCUAUCGACAACCUCAUUGCACCCAGGUUGCUGGCACCGGAUCCUGUCUGUUUUACAGGAAAUCAAUAUAUUAGAAAUGUAUAAAAUACAAUACAAUUGAUAUAAAUAGGAAACAAAAUAGCAAAUAAAGAAAAGUUGAUAGAAAAACAGCAAAAACUAAAAAUCAACAUAUCAUAUAUUAGCUCCAGAAUUCAUGACAAAAGAUAUCUACUAACCCACACUAGCACAUGGAAUGUGUCAGAAAAUUAGCUUCAUUUUUUUCUCUCGAAUACGCAGGAGAGCUGCACAUCAUUAUAAUAAGAAAGAAGAUAAAGAGGUAAAGAACCCCCAAGAACAAACAAAAACAAACAGACCCACACCCACACACCCUAAGCCAAACAAACACUAGUGGGUCACUGAUUACAACAUGAAUAACACGACCAAACCACACGGUCGACCUGGCUGAUCCAAUAUGAAAAUUAGCUUCUUGAGUCAUGACUAGUUUGUGGAUUGCAUUAAUUCAUUGGAACAUAAAAUAUGUAACAUAAUGUCUUCUUGAAAUUCCAAAAUAAAGAUGCACCCUUGCAAAAUCACAAGCUAUGGAGACGUUGAGGCAUGGAGAAGACAUACCACCAAAAGAACCUUCUGCCAUAUGCAUCUGAAUUCAAAGAAAAAGAACACAAUAAACUUUUAGGAUGGUGUGAUUGAUAAUAUACCUAAACAUGUUACUUAAAGCACAGACUAAUAUACCUUUAUACGAGACAUAUGGUCGUGACCCAUUACUGUUGUGUGUUUUUCUGCAGAAGUUCAAAUAUAAAACUAUGAAAUAAUGAAACAGAGAUAUAAUAUCAGCAGCAGUAGAUAUAUGACCGGUUAUGGAGAAUGCCAGGAUCCAAAUAAGGCUCCCAAACCCAAACAUAGACCCGAAUGGAGGGUAAAUGGAUAUGUUUAAACAGACAAAAGGAUAGUUUGAUGAUCAAGUAAUUUGUGAAAUAGCACAAUUUGGGUGUUUGAGAAUCGGGUUAAACUGGCCAUGUUAAUCACUAAGAUUGGUUGCUCUAAGUACAAUACAUAUGGAGAAGGAAAACUGUAUUAUUUGCAGACCACAAUUCUCAGCUUUAUUGUUGUAUAUAUGAAAACUUUAUCGCAUAUCACCACUAGCUAACCUCUUUGUUCUUGGCUACCAAUCUGUAACAUGGAAAAACCAUUUGAAUGAGGUAUCUGGUUCUUAUAUUGCAAACAAUUAGAGAUUCAUUACUGCACUCCAGUCGCUUCUGAUCAUAACCAAAAGUUGGUGUCAGUACUGUUAGCUCCAAGCCAUUCUUCAACAUAUACUGCAUGAGAGAUUAACAGUAGUUUCAGGUUUUCAGCAGCAAAUAGGUAUAAUAGACCAAACAAACCAUAUUGUAAUAAACUAUUUGGUUAUUAAAUACAGUAAACAUAAGUUCACACUUUUAAAAACAUCUUCCAUAGACUCAAUUAGUACAACAAGUGAAACAGGACAUAAAACAUGGAAGAAGAAAAAAACAGAGGCAAGAGGUCAUAAGCAACAUUCUCCCAUGGUUUCCCUUCGCUAUCAGUAUUUAGAAUAACUGUAGCUAUCACCAAAUAUUAUGAGUAAAGUGACAAUGAAGAACAAAAAGUACUGAAUAACGCAAAAAAAUCGCUCCUCAAAUGUGGAAAAGUAACGUAAGUCAAUCCAAUUAGCUAACAACGAUAAACUUGACAGCAUGUACAGGCACACUCAGUAAGUGGCAUUGGUUACUUUAGCCAGAUGAUAAAAUUCAACCUGACAAAAUAGUAGGACAGAAUAGAGGAAAAUGUAAAAAGAACUAAUGCAGAUGUAUGACCUAAUGGUGUAAUGUCUCAGAGAUAUAAACUAAUGGUGAAGUUCCAAUUUGUAGUCCCUAAUCGAACAAUGAACCAUCUCACAUAUUUGAUCAAAGGAUAAAGGGCCAGGCAACCAGCAAAACCACAAGAAAUACGUUACGAGCGCUGACUAGGUGCUCCCUCUUGCCCUUGGGGCGAGAGGAACAUAGGUGGCAUAAAACAAUCAAGCAAAAUGUUUUAGCCAGAAUACAGCUACUCGAAUCACUCAAGUCAAAAGACAAUUAUACUUAUAUGGCUACUGGUAUGAAGGAAAGGAGCUGCAAAGUAUCUGACUGAUAUUUUUUAUAUUUCAAAGGAUGGCUAGUCGUGUGUGGUGCUUAAUCAAGAAAAAAGGCGCCGGCUUCUUCAUGAUUUUCUGGCUGAACGGUCUGCAGAAUAUGCAACGCAAUAAACAGGUAGCUCUGCAUUGUAAGGUCGUAUAUGUAGUUCAGAGUGAGACACAAUGGUUCUGUCUCCCAACGACCUGUAUUUUAUUUUUGAAACUAAUGUUCAACCUCAAAAACAUGAAUUCAUUCAUUACUUAAUUUAUAUAUGCUACACAAGUGGGGACAGAUGAUGUGCAGCAAAGAAACAUUGGACAGAUGAUGUGAGGUUCAGAGGCAACAGGUGCACCUACUGUUGUGUCCAUGAACAAAUAACAUACUGUAGUAGAUUUUAAGUGGCAAAUUACUGAGAGCGGUAGGGGGAGCAUAACGUGCAUCACGAGUGAAACUAACAGUGAGCAUUUCUCCCACUUAAAUCGAAUUUGGUAACGAUAACGUACAUAUAUACAUAAAAAUAGCACAGCCGGUGGUCACUUUGCCAUGCCGAGGCUGUACGAUUACUGAUUAGAACAACAAGGCCUUGAAAACAUAUGGCGAGCGCUAGCUCCAGGAGCGACGAUCGGCGCGGUUAAUCGCGCGAUCAGCCUCAACUGACUGAUCCGCCGAAUCAGGGGCACGCAGCGGACACGGUAGUGCAUACCCCGGUAAUUUUUGCAUCAACAACAAAAGAAAAAAAAUAUAUAAAGCAAAUCAGUAGGCAUAAUACACGAGCGUACAGGCUCUUGAUUAGAUCAGAUCCAGCUAGGGUUUAGGUGGCCGGUUCCGCUAACGCACGGCAGGGAGUGAAAGGGAAGAGACGGGGUGGGGCGGGCAAGCGUACAUGUAGUGGGCGUGGGGGUGGUCGUCGCCGGCGAAGUCCUCGGCAGCGGCGGUCGACCGGCCGUCGCCACGAGGGACAGGGGUCCCCGAUGAGACAGAGGAGGAAAUGCAGGAAGGGAAGAGAAUGCAGAAGCAAUUUGGCACUAGUAUAGUAUAGGAGAGUAUUUUUUUUUAGCAGAAAGAGGAGAGGUGAGGGGGGACGGGACGGGGGAGAAGGGGAGGCCAGGGUGGGCAGCACACCUUUGGCUUUGAGAAGUAAAGUUGCGGGCAUAAUACAAGGGAACAGUAGAUCGCCGCUGCUCCUUCGAUUCGAAUCCCCACCCCGUUCCUUCCGCCGCAAGCGCAGCCGCUGCCGCCACCGCCGCGCGUGCUCCAGCCUCCGGCUCACCGCCGAUGGGCUCCACGUGCCUGUAGUGCGGCGAGGGCGCGGUGGUGGCGGAUCCGGACUCGGACGCGGUCGUUUGCACUUGCACCUCGUGCGUGCGGCGUCAUCCAGGACGGCGGCGGCGCGGAGUUCGUCCACCAGUCAACUUCCAACGAUGCAAAAAAAAAAAAAAAAAAAAACAGCAAGAGGAUAUGUUCGUGAAUGAUGGGAUAUUGCUCAUUUUGAGUGCAACUAGGCAAUACCUAAUAUUCAAUCAGAUCUUAUGUGUAAAUAUGCUUAUAGCCGUUUGCUUCUCCUUGUAGUCUGGCUGCAUGAGCCAGGACGGCGAGAUCUUAUGUGUAAAUGUGCAAGCGAGUCUCUUAUAGCCUGUUUGCUUCUCUCUGUAGUCUGGCUGCAUGAGCCAGGACUGCGGGAAUCUGGCUCCAGGGAUACGACCAAUUUGCUCGCGUCUAUAGAGCCUGGUCUAGAGUGCUUUAAGUACCGUGCGAGUCUGGUUUCACUCUAUACGUAGGUAACCAAACAUACACCUCGCACGCGUAGAGCCUGGUUAACAACAACCAAACACCAGCUCAUUACAUCCCAUCAUGUAAGCACCAGCAAAUACAUGCAGCCAAACACAUAGUUAAGGGUUGUUUGGUUCUAUAUCUAUGGUGCCAAAACUUGCCACGCAAUUUUACGCCACACUUGACUAAUGUGACUAAGGUUAGGCGUUCAAAUUCUACGCCACAAUUUGCCAUGUCUAAAAGAAUCUUGCCAUACUUUUACCAGUCAUUGACGAGUAAGAUCUAUGUAGCAGGAAAAAAAUGUUGCUACAACUAUGGUUUCAAACCAAACACAUGACCAAUUUGAUCAAAUUUGGCUAAAUUUAGAUGUGACAAAUCGUGGCAAGUUAGACAGUAAAUUAAACAAUCCUUAGUUUGUUAGAUCAUGAUCUAAUUUGUAGACAUGACCGUGAUUUACUAGAGAGUUUCCAUAAAUCUACACGAGGUAGUCAAAUAGACUUUUGUGGAUAUUUGUAUGCAUACUUUUUGUAGAGCGUUGCUAUACAUGACUUUAUUGAUAGACUCAAAUACAAGUAAGGCCGUCUAGUAGUCUAUGAUUUAUUAGUUUAAAAUAAGGACAACAACAACAACGGUAGAUUAACGUUGUUCGUACACUCAUACUCCAUUCGUAUGGAUGAGUGGUACACGAAGGACUUCUCUUUUUUUAAGUUACAUGAACUUUUCCUUCCAAGUAAAAAAUCGGCAGAAACCAUUGUCGCAUCCACAUCCCCGUCACUCCGUCAGUCCAAAUCCAUUGAUGACAAAGCGGCCGAGUCGCACACUCCAAUGAAGGGAAGCUUUGGUUGGUUGACUGCUCCAUCCACCCACCCCCUACAGUUCAGUUCAGUUCAGUUGGUCUAGGCCAUGGCCAUGUCCGCUUCCUCCUCCUCGCGCGCCCUCCUCCGCCGGAUCGGCGGCGCGCUCCUCCGCCGCUCCUUCUCCUCCUCAUCCGCCGCCUCCGCAGGGUACCACGUCGCGGGCGGGCCCAGCUACAUGCGCGGCGCCGUCUUCUGGGAGCCCGGCCGCCCGCUCACGCUCGAGGAGUUCCGCAUGCCGCGGCCCAAGGCCGGCGAGCUCCUCAUCAAGACCAAAGGUCCCGCCUUUCCCCCCUUCUUCUCGCACUACAUUGCUGCUACGCUACGCUUCCAAUUCUGAAUUGCCACUCGACUCCAGCGAUUGCUAGUGAUAGAGGUUGCUUUGUUGGAUAACCAAAUGCAAAAGCUGCUCGAUUUGGUGGUUGCGCGCCGCUGAUGGUUCGCUAGAGUCCCAACCAUGCGAGUGCGGCGCGGCAGAUUGCAGUCUUGGGGGAUUCGUUUCGAUGAACUGAUCUGAUUCCUAGCAUCUGUGUCUGACAUUAACGUGGUGGUGUUCACCAACUUGGUGCAGCCUGCGGGGUCUGUCACUCCGAUCUCCAUGUCCUCAAAGGCGAGCUCCCUUUCUCCACGCCCUGUGUCGUGGGCCAUGAGAUCACUGGAGAGGUGGUUGACCAUGGCACGCACACUCCUGUUGAGAUCAUCAACAGGUAUGGCCGACGUGACAGAUCUGUUGGGCUGUCAAUUCGCUUCUGUUAGGCAUCAGGUGCCGUUUUGGGUUACUUCUCUGAAAGACUGAAACUGGAAACGUUUCAGGUUCCCAGUCGGAAGUCACGUCGUCGGCGCCUUCAUAAUGCCAUGUGGGAACUGCUUCUACUGCGUUAAGGUAGAGCAGCUUUGUUGAAUUACGGCAUAUGUUUCUGUGCUUUUCUUGCUUGUUACGCUCAUGCCCAUUGAUUUAAUACAGGGCCAAGAAGAUCUGUGUGAGUCUUUCUUCGCGUAUAAUCGUGCCAAGGGGACACUCUAUGAUGGCGAGACACGGCUGUUUCUAAGGGGCAAUGGUAACCUGAGGAAACAGAUCCACAUCAUGCAUCAUCAUCAGUAACACCACAGUAUUUUUUUUACCGAGAACACCACAGUAUAAUUGCUUCAAGUAACCUGAAAAUUCUCCAUCUGCAGGGAAACCGGUGUACAUGUAUAGUAUGGGAGGGCUUGCAGAGUAUUGUGUUGUCCCAGCCAAUGCGCUAGCAGUUCUCCCUGACUCACUGCCAUACACAGAAUCAGCAAUUUUAGGAUGUGCAGUGUUUACCGCGUAUGGUGCCCUGAGGCAUGCUGCUGAAAUGCGGCCUGGUGAUUCAGUAGCUGUGAUCGGAGUUGGAGGGGUUGGGUCAAGGUCAGCUGAUGUCUGAUAAAUUUGAGGAUCUUUCUUUUCUCCACUUAUUUUUUUGGGACUAUGAAUGCACAAACAAACAUGACCCUUCUUCUUCCCUCUUUUAUCUUAAAAAAGCAGUUCUUUUAUUUUGCAGCUGUUUACAGAUAGCAAAAGCCUUUGGAGCUUCCCAAGUCAUUGCAGUGGAUGUCCUUGAUGAGAAGCUUCAGAACGCUACAACACUUGGAGCAACCCACACUGUAAAUGCAGCAAAAGAUGAUGCAGUUGAAAGGAUAAAGGUAUGUCUCAAACUGUCAAAGUUUGUAAUCUAUCAAUGAAGUUCAGAAAGUAAUUCUAUAUAUCUACUUCAUUACAAGUCCUGUCAUUGCUUAUCUUGUUUUUCUUUUUCUUCAAGUGGGCUGUGUCAAAAUGUGCAUAUGGAACUUUCCAGCUAUGUAUUGAUACUAUUCAGAUGUGAAUGCCUUGCUGUUCACAGGAAAUUACUGAUGGUAGGGGUGUAGAUGUGGCUAUAGAGGCACUUGGUAAGGCGUUAACAUUUUCCCAGUGCGCCAAGAGCGUGCGUGAUGGAGGCAAAGCUGUUAUGAUCGGGCUUGCUGCAACGAACGUAAUGGGAGAGGUUGAUAUAACCCGUCUUGUCCGACGACAGGUAUGCAAUUGAUUCCUUGUUCAUCCUUCUGUAUUGUGGUUCCUUGUCCAUCCGCUCAUGUUUAUUUGGAACCAGGUGAAAAUCAUUGGCUCAUAUGGCGCAAGGGCUAGGCAAGACCUUCCUCAGAUAGUGAAGCUCGCGGAGAGUGGUGCCUUCAAUCUCCAAAACACCAUAUCAAGGAAAUGCAAAUUUGAGGAGGCGAAUGGCGCCUAUGAGGAUCUCAAUCAGGGCAAGAUCGUAGGACGAGCUGUGGUUGAGAUCAUGGAGUGAUGACGGACAAGGUAAUCAAUCCUGUGGUUCCAAGUCUGGGUCACACAACAAUAAAGUUUUGCGUGCUCUUUCACAGCAUUGUCAAAAUCUGUAGAUGACCAAACUGCAUUGUGUGUGUGUGUGUGUGUGUGUGUGACAGUGUGUUGUUGGAAUUAACAUUUGCCCUUAAAUUAUGUCUGUACACGCCCAAGGGCUGGUGUCUAUAGGAGUCCAAUCCUGUUAGGUCCUAACAGGAUUGGACUCCUAUAGACACCAGCCCUUGGGUGUGUACAAAGAAGGCACAAGUUGUCUAACACAACCAGUUCCUGAGCCUACUCCGAUAAACAACUGCGGUUAGGAACUGUUAGGCCACCUUACCCAUCAUCAUUCGGAAAACAACGCAACAAAAUGAUUCCACAAACUAACCGUCAACUCUGGAAGCAAUAAAUGAAAACCAUAAGGGGAAAAAACAUCCUGAACAAUUCUGGGACAAGGGUGAAGGGACAAAGGAAUGCCAACCCUGUUUACACUACAACAUAGCCAAAAGCAUCAGCUACAAAACUUUACCAAGGCCUGUGUACUUUGAUCACAUAUCAUCUGAUUGAAAACACCAGCCAAAAAAUUCCCUAAAACAUGGAACAUACAUGGACAUGAACUAGAGCCUCUACGAUAGUAUGGGCGCACUUGACUGGAUCCUUGGGUGCUUGCUAAGAAAACAUGCUUUAUGUGCAGAUACGCCCAUAUCUGUCUGCUUAUUUUGGCCUUCUCCCACUUGGUUUGCAGUUUUUUCCAGCUCUACUUGCUUCAUCCUGUCCUGAUUCAGUGUUCUGGCAUUUUGGGUAACAUGGGCAGUCAACAGAUCACUCUUUUCAUCCACUUUUCCGCUAUUGUCACAUUCAGUUUGGCCCCUGUCAACUGAUGUGCUUUUGUUGAAUACUCGACACCACACCAUCUGCCCACCAUCUUUGCUUAGGCUGGUACUAGGCUUCUCACAUAUCUCACAACCAAAAAAACAUUGUCAACCACCAUUCACAAAACAAGGAACCACUUCCAUAACCAACCAAAAUCAUCGACACCUAGGUCUCAAAAUGAAGAAACAUCUGUAUGUGGUUGCAAAAUGUGAAUCACUAGCAUGUAAGAUCAAUUAUCAUCCAACAAAACCAGGCCAUGGCAUGAAUGUACAAUCAGUUUCCUACUCUGUUAGGACAAUACCGCAUGACCUAAUUCGUUCCUAAAAAGAGCAAAAAGAAAUAGUCAGCAGAUCAGCCAACAGUUUCCCCAACUGGUUAGAAGCUGCCGUCAACCAGGUGCCCCUGCAAUGCCUCAGCGAACCAAAUCAUGCUUGCCAAUGCCAGGUGAUUGCUCGUCUGAUUACUUUGGCAUAAUACGACAGAUGUCUCAAGCUUUUAUCUUCUCAUAGAAAAGAAGGAAAGCCUCGUGCUUGAGAACAUCAUCUAGAGAGAUAUUUCUGAUUCUUAUAUCAUUUGCUUGAAACCAAGAGGAAGAGCUGCUGCUCAGCUCCUUCUCACUGACAAUCCUGCUUCCUCUCACAUAAGCGACAAAGUGCCCCGGCGUUACGGUCCUCCCGAGAUGCUCAAUGACACCAACUAGACGAUAUCUGGCAUCAUCUUUGUCUGUAGACCUGAAAAUUUGCAAAAUAAGAAUUUCAAAAGGUCAAGCGAAUGAAAUGUUAGAUUAGCUAUCAACAUCACUAACAAGAAAACACUAUCGGAUUAACAGUUUUGACAUAUACCAAGUGACUAAACAGUACUGCUCUGAUCCCGACACACAAAAACAGAAUUAGUGUAACACAGUACAGUUGUAUUAAUAGUGAAUUCAAUUCAUUUUUGAUGUGCACAAAAAGGGAAAAAUAAAUCCUUACACCGUGUCCAGCAGUUUAACCAUAAUUUACCCAAAACACUUUCUUUGCAUUGUUCUGCACUGUUCGCAGAGUGAAGUUUAAACAUGGAUAUGGGGAUGGGUAAGCUGCUGAAGAUGUCGCAUAUGGCAUCUGUGUGAGACCCAACACCAGUCAGGCAGUCAACACAAUUCAAUUAGACUUCCAAUCAGCAUGCAAUGGAAGUACCAGAUGAUAGUUGCAUAUUGCCCCAUUUUCACAGUGCAGCCAGAUACUAAAAAAAGCAUGUGACUAUACUAUUAUAGAAAUCUUUGUUCUGUGCCAUUCAAAAAUAAUUCAAACCUUUUCACCACUGCUGAUCUUUUUGUGCAUAUAAUACAGAGACCACACUUGGGUCACCAGGAGUGACAAAACCCCAGCAGAAACAACACAGAAAACAAAAGAAAACCCAAGUAGCACGAGAUAAGGUGAAAAAUUAUUAAGAACUCAAACAAUUUUACUUCUAGCACUACUCCAGGACAUGAAUGACAACAGGAAAUUCUUUUAGUGACAUAAAAGUACCUCCCAAAUCAGCAAAAUUGAAACAUGCAGUCUAAACAACUCUUUGAACUAAAUAACAUAUCUUCUUCGAACUUCCCUAAAGAUGCUAAACAAACUAUGAAAUAAAAAAGAUAGCUAUUGAAAAUCGAAAGUUCGACUGCACAGAAUGACAGAAGUAUUCAACUAUUAAUUAUUGCUGUUAAAAUCGAUCUGUUGGUACCUGGGGUCCAGAUAUUCUCCUACAUCAAUAUUUUCCUCGAACUUCACAUGCCCCACUCUCUUAUCAUUGAUAUUGAAUCUGAGCACAUGAAUAGUUAAUACUGGUGGCAGCUUGCUAAGACAAAGUGUUACAUAUGCAUGUCCACCCGAAUUGAUGUUUGCCACUAUCUGCCCACCAUCUUUGCUUCGGCUGGUGCUAGGCUUCUCACAGAUUUCGCAGCGGUUUUGUACCUUCACUUUUCUAAAAUAAUAUUUAAUGCACUGCUUAACUGAUGUGAGAGAGACAGCUGCCUUCUUUUCUUCUGCAAAACAACAAUUUUCAUCCAGAAAAAAAGUUAACAUCUACGAGUUUUUCAGAACCUCAAUCCUCCACAUUAGAAGUAACUUCUCCGAGAAUGCCUGAGAAACUGCUGACCUAACAGACCAGGUUGAGUGAAAUAAAGACAAGAAUUCAACACCGGUAAGCUAUGUUCGAAUGGCAAUCCAAAUUACCACACUACGAUAGAACAGCUUCUCCAGUUCAGACUGCUCAAACAUCCCCAACUGUUUUAUGUGGUCAUACUGAACUGUCAUUUCUCCAACACAUGCAUAGAAGUAGUGCUUUAACAACUCCCAAAAUUUAGGUACUAGGUAGUGGUCAAGAGUCAAAACUCGUCUCUGAGAAAUGAAAUGUUUCCUUAUAUUGAGCAAAAGCAGUUACCAUCCAUAUGACACAGCCGUUUAUACCAUUCGUUCCUAAAUAGACUUAUGCUCUGGGGUGCCACCCCAUAUAUGCAGAUCUGUUAACCAAUUUUUGGCAGACAAGUUGAUUAGGUACAGGAGCAUGUAAGCUUACCCUCCUUCUGAAUUCGUCGGCAUUGUUUUAUAGCUGGGACACUUCUGCUUGGAUGCUUCUUACUAGGUGGCAAUGGCAGUGAGAGCUCAUAGAAUUCUUCGUCCUUGCCUGCAGUGUUCAGGCAGCGACUGCAGGUCCACAUAACAGACACCUCGCCCUUGAAAAUGGAAUCGACAACUGUGGGAACAUCAUCCUUUCUCACAUCAGGAAGCUUCUUCUUCCGUUCCUCAUCGAUCAACCCAUUGCGCACAUGGACCAGAAGUUCUUGGCAGUCUUGGUGAUCAGUGGUCCUGUACCCCGCAUCCAAUAGGCAUAUACUUUCCAUGAGUCUCCGUGUGUUCAGAAAUGCUCCUGCAUCAUUCCCAGACCUCGUCUCCAAAAAGAGCUCCUUCAGCGCAACACCGAGGGGCCCUGCUGGAGCACGAGGUCCUAGCAUCGACAUCCACAGAUCGUCAAGCGCAAGGAGGCACUGCACCAGUGCAUUGACGUAGCAUUUGGCUCUGAAGUUCGGCAUCCCUCUGACAGCAUAGCCAUGGUUAUGGGAACGCGCUGCUAAGGCGAUCACCUUGAGGCUCAAGCUGUGGGCACACUGGAAGCAGUAAGCAGCAUCGGGUUGGUCUAUCCACAGCGCAACUGGAUGGCAAGCUGAUUUGGCAUGGAGCUGCGCAUGCCCGAUUGGUCCAUCCUCAUUGCUCGCCAGUCCGGCGCAGAAACACUGGCUGCAGCCCGAGCACAUCACGAAGCGAGGGUUUAGGAGAGCCGGAUUCCCAGCAACGGCCUCACGCCGGCAGUCCACGCACUGUGGGUGGCCCUUCAAGCCCUCGAUAGUUUCUAAGAACUGGUGCAUCUCCAUUGUAUCAUAGUGGAAAUCCUCGCACUCUUUGCUGCCGGCGUAGUCAGUGACGACAUCGGUUUUCUGGGAUGCUGCCGCGUCGCCGCGCACAGAAUACCUGGGCUGCAGGAGCGGGGCUUUGCCUGAGCUCGUGCCCUUCUUCGCCGCCCUCGCUCCCUUCUCCUCCUUCCCCAUCGCGUAGACUGGAAUCGGAUGAAAGAUGGAAGAAAGGAAUCGCGUCAAAAGCCAAUAAGCCAUGAAAUGCAGGAAGAAGAGAAAAAGCCAUCAGAAGAAGAUGUCAUGGGUAGGGGUAGGACCAAGAAAUGCCAGACAAGAAAACCACGCAUCCUGGAGAGGAUCACGCACCGCGCGCCCAUAGAGAAUCAAUAAGUGCAAAUAAAAAUGAAAAGCACUGCCCAGCCCGAGAAGUCGUUUUGGCGAGGCCCGCCCGCCGUACAAGGAAACGUCAAAGAAGCCGGGACGCGGCAGGCCGGGAAACCCACCAAGACAAGAACCGCACGCACGCACGCUCUAGCAGGGACCAAGAAGAACACCGCGCGCAGCAGCUGCAGCUGCACCGACUACGACGUACGUCGACAACAGAGAAGUAUUCGAAUUCCAACGCAGUGGUGAGGAAGGAAGACGAAGCAGCAGCAGGGGAAACCAACCGACCAAGAAGCCGCAUGUUCUGGCGAGGAGCAGUCAGAACAAGAGCAAGAGCAGCGGAAUCGGACGGUAAGAAAAAAAGGCCAUGUGGAAUGCGGGAGGACAUCUACCUCGGUUCGGGCGGGGCACGGGGGAGCGGCGGGAAUGGCGUUCGCGGUCGCGGCUAGGCCUUGGUAGCGUUGGGACGGUGGUCGAUGAGCUGGCUGGCCCUGUUCGAGUCCACGCAGAACUGGACUUUGGACCAACCGAAAUAGGGCCCAUAAGAAAAAAAGGCCGAGUAAUAGGCUGCUCCCGGCCCGACAAACUUCAUUCAAUCAUAAGAAUCGGGAGUGAGAAGUUGAGAGUUUUCCACUUAGAAUAAGGCAUAUUUGGUAAGUGGUAACUCAAUAUUUUCUUCGCCAUGUGGGGGAUGCCCCUACUCGUACAUUGUCCUAGCUAGCGACAAGGUUCACCUGAAGAGCUGGUAAACCUUGUAUAUCCUCUCCUAGUUCAAAAUCCACACACUCGAUAGUGACUCUAACGCAGAUAUGUAAGAUCUGUCCAUGCUUGCAUAGAUCAUAAAAAUAUUGCAGUUCAUAUAUACAUUAUAAAAUCAAUAUCUGUUCAUGAAGAAUAAAAGGUUAAAGUUUGCACUCUUUUUCCCUCUGUGACUUUACUUUUUACUCGAAAGAUUCUCACACAAGAUAUUUAGUGAGACAACAUUUACAAUACAAUUAGCGAAUGUGGUGUGCACUUUUCUUUGAGCACCGUUUUUUGUCACAGAAUUUUUGGAUGGAGUUUUUAAUGAGACAUGUGCAUAUCGUGAUAAUCGUUCAAGAGAGUGUUGUAAAACAUACAAACUCUAGCCUAGAAAAAAAAGGAACCAUAAUAGGAUUAUGGUUUGUAUCUAGUAUGUUUUAUAUGUAUGUGAGAUCUUACCGACUCUUAGAUCUUGCAUAACUAAUACUCUUGAUGAGAAUGUUUAAGGAGAAAAACAAUCCAGUACAGAGGAUCAAUUCUUCGGAAAAUGCAAUCAAUAUACUUUUCGGAGAACAGACGAAAUGGGCUUCACCAUCCGAAGGAAUUUAGACAAAGAUUGCAAGAGCUGCUGCUCAGGUCCUCCUCCCUCUCACAUAAGCCAUUCAAGGAAAUGAUACAGCAGGUUAACAGCAUUCCUCCAGUUGAGAAACAACAAGACAUGUAUGUUCACAAGACAGCAACAAAACAUGUACAGCAGCAGAUGAUCUCUGAAGCCCUCACAACCUACGAAUGAUCUGUCGCUUCCAUUCGCGUACAGUUAAUAAUUGGAGGAAAAAAAUUCCUAUGCUUUGACCACAUCCACAUGGAGAAAUUUCCAUUACGUGAGACUGGCUUACAUUACUUGUACGUGUCGUCCUGUGCUUCAGAUAUAUUCCCCUGGAGAAGUUCCUAUCAUGAGAGGUGACUUGCAUUACAUGAACUUGUCGGAUCUGCACUGCACCCAAUCAUUUUUACCUUGCUCAUGUGCUG